rnacentral:lncRNA from 1 species
UUUAGGGACCUGCAUGAGUAAAUGCUUAUUGGAAAGAUACUAGUGAAGUUAUUCCAAGAUAGGUCAAGUUUACUAAGACGACUAAGUUUGGAGAAAUUAAGCUUGGUGAGGCCUCCUUCCAAAUAAUUGAAUUCCAAAUGUAGUUUUACAAGGUUUGUGCAAUUCAUCAAAGAUGAGGGCAUAUUACCCUGUAAGCUGUUGAAAUCAAAAUUCAUGAAUUUUAACUUGGACAGCUUCCUGAAAUUGAGAGGGAGCGCACCAUUCAGAUGAUUUGAGUUGAGUUCAAGGAUUGUCAGGUGGGCGAGGUUGGCGAUUCUUUCACUAAUGGCUCCAUUUAGUGAAUUGAAAGGUAAAGCAAGUUCCUUAAGUUUGGUAGCAUUAUAGAUAUCUUCUGGAAGUGAUCUUGACAAAUUAUUGUGACCGGCACGAAAAAUCUGUAGCUUGAAACACCCAUUGAACCCAUGGGAACUGUUGCCACUAAAUUCAUUGGAGGAAAAAUCCAAUAAUCUUAUGGAAGGAGGCGAUCGGAGACAGAUAGAUGAUGGGAUAUGCCCAAAGAAGGUGUUGUUGCUGACAUUGAAACUAGUCAAAUUCCAAGCUUGUUGGAAGAAAGAAGAAGGAAUUGGACCAUGACAGUGAUUGCUUGACAAAUCCAUUGUCUGAAUAUUUUUUGGUGGUAGAGAAAAUGGCAUCUCUACGGAAAGAAGGUUAUAGCUCAAAUCAAGGAUCUCGAGGCGUUUCAAGGAUGAGAAAAAUUUAGUUUCAAGUGUGCCAUAAAGUGAAUUGUGCGAAAGGUUCAAGUGGGUGAGAUGUGUGAGAUUCCCAUGUGAUGAGACAAAUAUACCUCCUUUGAGCCCUUUGGAGGGUAAGAGCAAAUGGGUGACCCAACCCUCUUGAUUAUAAGUGAUGCCAUUCCAAUGACAACAAUCAACAGAACUACUCAAAUUUACGGGAAGAGAAGAUAGAGUAUGAGCUAAGGCCAGAAGUAAGGUGUGUUUAGCUUGAUUGCAUGCAUGAAUAUUUGUUGUAGAUAUAAUGCAAGAGAAUAAAAAGAGGAGGAGGAAGCCAUGAGCCAUUGUUUUAACUUAGAUAUCGCUUAAGAAGAGGAAGAUGAGGAGGUCUGCAUAUAUAUAAGCAAUACCAAUUUAUUAUAAUUGGUUGUUUUUUUUUAAUUACUAUUAUUUUCAUUUUUUAGCUUUGAAUUAUCCAAACCGCAAUGUACGUUUGAAGAGAAUUUGCACGGCAUGAAAGAAAUCAAAAUGCGAAGACCUUAGUAGGUCAUGGAAUUGAGAGGGGACUGCACAUGAAAACAACUAAACAAAACUAAAGGGUAAAAAGUUGUUUUGCCACUGAUAUUAAUUGUUACUUAUAAGUAGGAUGUUUUAAGUUUGACUCGUGUAAAUACAAUUCAUUAUAAUCGCAUUGCAAACAACCAAACUCUGAUAAUUGGCAAACAACACCGUAUGAAUCAAGUCAGUUGAUUAAGUCAGUGCGCCCAUUACUUUUCACCCAAGCUCAUAUAUUUUCAUUAACUAAAUUAGAUUAGAAUAUCGCUUAGAAGGGAUGCAAAGAACUUUGUGAAAUGUUGUUGGUUCUGCAACAAUUCUGCAGAUGUCUCGCAUCCAAAAUUUAAUUUUGUACCUGUGCUUCUCUCUUUGUCCUUGUCUUUUACAUUGUCCUAACUAGGUUGUCUUUGUAUUUUCUAUUCGAAAAUAUCUAGAAAGUUUAUGUGCCAACUCAAGUUUUUUAUUAAAUCUUCUCAGAAUCUAAGGGAAUUGUAUUAGUGUUUGAUUUCUGGGUUGAUUCAAUGAAACAGUAAGCACAAAAGAACACACAUACUUAGAAGAGAGCUUUUUUCUUAAUGUUCAAUGUAUUUCAGCUUACUCAAUGAGCAAGAAACAAAUUCACUCUCUCACAACAUUACAAAUUCAUCACAACCAUUCAUUCCUAAGCCAUCAUGUAAGAUGCUAACACUUGUCAUGAGCUAUGACUCAUUACAAUCUAAUCUAAAUACCAAUUGGAAUAUGAUCCAAAGGUUCACAUUAAAUCCUACACAUUGCUUAUAAUGAAACUAUCACAGCAAAUACAUUUAUACUCCAAUACUCCCUUCUAAAUGUUUUGCUGAUUUCACACCAAGAGCAGUUCUCAAGUAUUCAAAUUGAUCCUCUGUGCUGCAAUAGUGUAGUUCAAUUGUCCCAUCUUGAAUGGCAACUCUUAUGAAAUGAUACCUCCGAUUAAUAUGCCUUGUUUUAUGAUGAAACACCGGAUUCUUAGACAUGGCUAUGGCAGAAGUAUUGUCACAUAGCAAAGGUGUAGCCUUUACCUGUUCUUCUCCAAAAUCAGAUAAAACAAACCUCAACCACAUUGCUUGUGUUGUAGCUUCUGCAGCACAUACAUACUCGGCUUCUGCAGUAGAUAAAGCCACACUGCAUUGUUUAACAGAAGCCCAAGAAAACACUCAUAAACCUAAACUAAAUGAAUAGCCCGAGGUAUUUUUCAUGUCAUCCAAGCUUCCUGCCCAAUCACUAUCACAGUAGCCUAUCUACACAGCAGCUUUUCCUUUCACAUAUUCAAUCCCAAAAUCCAAUGUGCCUUGUACAUAUCUCAAGACUCUUUUAGCUGUCCCCAUGUGUUUUCUGGUAGGUUUAUUCAAGAACCUUGCCAGCAAACAUGAUGCAUACAUUAGAUCGGGUCUAGUAGCUGUCAAGUAUAAUAGACUACCAACCAUUUUCCUGUACAAACUUUCAUCAGUAUCCUCACUCCCAUCUUCCUUAGAUAACUUGUCAUCAAUUGCAAGUGGGGUUUUCAUAGCUUUACAAUCUUUCAAUUGCAAGUGACUUGGCAUAUUUCUUCUGACGAAUAAAUAUACUCUUAUCGGUUUGAAUUAUGCCCAGACCAAGAAAGUGAUGUAACAAUCCUAGAUCUUACAUCUCAUAUUGCUUCAUCAUAUCAUUCUUAAAAUUCUUGAAUCAUUUCAUCAGAAUUCCCUGUAUAGAUAAUGUCAUCUACAUACAGAGAUACAAUAAGCACAUUUGCAUCACUGAACUUUGUAUACAGAAUAGAUUCACUUUGGCUUUUCUUAAAACCGGAUCGAUUGAAAUAAUUGUCUAUCUCAUCGUACCAAGCUCUGGGAGCUUCUUUCAGACCGUAUAAGGCCUUUUUCAACUUGUAAACCUUGUCUUCUUGUCCUUGAACUUCAAAUCCCUGUGGUUGAUCCACAUAUACUUCCUCAUGUAGUGUACCAUUUAGGAAUGCAAACUUAACAUCUAAUUGAAACAACUUCCAUUCUUUUUGAGCUGCCAAUGCAAUUAGAGUCCUAAUGGUAUCAAGUCUUGCCACAGGUGCAAAUGUCUCAUUGAAGUCCACUCCAGGUUUUUAAGAAUAGCCCUUAACCACUAGCCGUGUCUUGUUCUUCUGCAAUGAACCAUCCAGAUUAAGUUUUGUUUUGUAGACCCAUUUUACACCAAUUAUAGGUUUAUCAAAUGGCCUUUUGACCAACUCCCAUGUUUCAUUCUUUUCUAUCAUCUUAAUCUUUGUGGACAUAGCUUUUCUCCAAGCCUCAUCUCCUGAUGCUUCUUCAAAACAUUCAGGUUCCAUCAUACAGAAAUUGCACUUUUCAUAGAUAUGGAGUAUGAUCAUACACUUGUGAACUUGUGUGAUCCAUUUGCUCUUCUUGUCUUAAAGAAGAAGCAAUAACUUGCUCAUGUUGCUCCUGUAGUAAUUAUGUGCAUUCAAAUACUGCAUCAUUUUUAGCUGCUUCAACCUCAUUCUCUUCGCUUCCAUAAGCUUCACUUGGAAUUGAGAUGGACAGAGUCUUCUUGUUACCAAAUUUCCAAUCCCAACAAGAGUUCUCAUCAAAGAUUACAUCACUAGAAAUAACCAUCUUGUUAGUUUUAGGAUUGAACAACUUGUAACCCUUCUCACAGGUUUCAUAGCCAAGGAAUAUGCACAUUACACUUGUUACAUCCAGUUUCUGCCUUAUCUGUGCUAGAACCUAUGCAUAACAUAGGGAUCCAAACACUCUUAAGUGUUUUACUCCAAGCUUUCUUCCACUGUAGGCUUCAAAUGGAGUCUUCUUAUGCAAGGCCUUGGUAGGACAUCUAUUGAGAAUGUAGACUGCAGUAUUAACUGCUUCUGCCCAAAACUCAAAUGGAAUGCCUUUCUCCAACAUCAUGCAUUUAGCCAUUUCUACAAUGGUCAUAUUUCUUCUCUCAGCAACACCAUUCUGUUGAGGAGAAUAGGCCACUGUGAGUUGUCUUUCUAGACCAAGAUCUUCACAGUACUGAGAAAACUCCAGAGAAGUGUACUCCCCUCCCUUGUCACUUCUUAAUUUCUUCAUUUUGAAUCCACUUUGUAAUUCAAUAGUUGCCUUGAACCUUUUAAAUAUACCAAAUGCUUCAGACUUGUUCCUCAGAAAAUAGACCCAUCCCAUUCUAGUACAAUCAUGUGUGAAAGUGAUGAAAUACUUGUUUCCAGCUUUGGUAGGUGUUUGCAUUGGUCCACUUAUAUCAGUGUAUAUUAACUCCAAUGGUAGUGCAGUUUUCCAGUUUGUUUCUUUAGGAAAAGCAUCUCUAGAGUGCUUUCCAAUAGCACAUCCCUCACAUACUGUAGAGUUCAUUCUGAGCUCAGGUAAACCAGUCACCAUGUCAUGCUCUUGGAGUUGCAUUAGAGUGUUCAUAUUUAGAUGCUCGAGUCUUCUAUGCCAUAUCUCAGCUGCUUGUCUAACACUUGCCCUCAUAGCAAUUUGGAUUCCUGGUUGCAACUUCAAAGGAAAGCUUCGAUUUCCCUUCAUAGGAAUUUUGACAACCAGAUUAGAGCAUGUAAAAUCUUCAUAAAUUCUGACUUCAAUCCCCUCAAACACAAGGUAAUAUCCAUGCUCCAUCAUCUGUCCCACGCUUAAUAAAUUUUCCUUUAAACCAGGUACUAACAUGAUCUCCUUGAUGUACCUUUUGCCUUGCUUGGUUGCAACCAUUAACUCUCAUUUUCCAACCACAUUAACCAAAUCCCUUGUGCCAAUCUCAACUUUGGCAGUAACACUUCUAUCAAUGUUCUCCAGUAAAUCUUCUCUUCCUGUCAUGUGAUUACUGCAGCCACUAUCAACAUACCAAAUAUCUUCUCCCUUCUUCACUGCAGCAGACAUACACACAUAGAACAUAGUUGGAUUGCUCUCCCCUUGAUUAGCAUAAUUCGCCUGUUGAGUAACCUUUUUAGAUCUACAAUCCUUGGCAAAAUGCCCUAGCUUAUCACAGUUGUGGCACCUUGGUUUCCCUUUGAACCAACACUCUCCAAAAUGAAGUUUAUCACAGUACUUGCAAGCAUUCUUGACACUAUCAAAAGACCCAGUAAAUUUUCCUUGCUGGUGCACAUAUUUGUUAUCCCAUUUCUUACCCUUUGUCUUCCAGUUCUUUAUGGGUUUGAAGUUUUGAUUGCCAUUGUAAUUGUUCUUCCUGGGAGUUGUACUUAAACUAGCAAAGGCCUUUUCAGUGUUAUUUUCAGAGUGUUUCUCAAUCCUUUGUUCAUACCCUUUUAGAGUAGCAACUACAUCCUGCACAUAAACUGUCUCCAAAUCUCGAGUAUUCUCAAUCACAGCUACAAUACUAUCAUAGGAUCUAGGAAGACUAAUCAAUAAUUUCUGCACUAUUCUUUGAUUUCCAAUACUCUCACCAUAACUUUUCAUUUGUGUAAUAAGAUCCAACAAACGCACAAGAUACACAGAAAAUGAUUCAUGUUCACCCAUUCGAGUAUAUUCAAAAUCACGCCUUAAGCUUUGAAGUUUCACAUAUCUCACCUGUUUAUCUCCAAUAAACUCCUGCUUCAGUAUAUCCCAUGCCUCUUUUGCUGUCUCCAGAAUGGCAAUCCUUGGGAAAAUUUAAUCUGACACAGCUCCUUGAAUAAUUCCGAGAGCCUUAGCAUCCUUGAUCAUAUUCUUCUUCAGAUGCUUUAGCUCAGCUGCAGUGAGUUCUUCUUCUUCUUUCUUCGCCGGAGAAUUAUACCCAUUUUCAACCAUAUCCCACAGAUCGUGAGAUCUGAAGAUGGUCUUCAUCUUUAUCUGCCAGAAAUCAAAAUUUUCUCCAUUGAAAAUCGGUGCUCGAAGAUCAGCACCACUCGAUCCAGCCAUAUUAGACUUGUUAUCAAGUUACCCAGAGAUUUUCAGAUCGUUCUUCAAUCGCAGCAAACUCGAUUCUCUGUCGAGUUCCUCAGCUGCGAACCUUAUCACAGAUUCACGCCCAGAUUGAGAUCCAACCUGGCUCUGAGGCCAUAUUAGCGUUUGAUUUCUGGGUUGAUUCAAUGAACCAGUAAGCACAAAAGAACACACAUACUUAGAAGAGAGCUUUUUUCUUAAUGUUCAAUGUAUUUCAGCUUACUCAAUGAGCAAGAAACAAAUUCACUCUCUCACAACAUUACAAAUUCAUCACAACCAUUCAUUCUAUCAGUGCAGAAACAUGAUUGAAAAUACAUCGGGUACUAGGUUUCAUUGUAUCCUCGAGACAUAUUUGCAUUAACUCCGUCUCCGUCACGCACCUAUUUCACUCUCGUGACACAGCAAAUAUUGUUUUCUUAUCUUAUAGAAAAGAAAAAUGAAAGUGCACAUUACAAACAGAAAAAAUUAAAAAAUUAAAAAAAAAAAGUAAAAAAAAAAGGCAUAACUUAUUACAUCCUCAAAUAACAAAAGAGAGAUUAAAAUAUCCUUCAGUAACAGUUGGGACGUUCUCGUAUCACCCAACUCUCUCAACUUUUGGGGGAGAAUGCAACGACCCCAAACUUCUGCUGCAAGAAAAUGACGCCAGCAAACAGUAGGCCCCCAAAAGGAAUAAUCACGUCCCAAGCAGUGGAGUCAAAAUCUACAGCAGGACUUGCAUACAGGUAUGACUCGUUGAGUUGGCGACGAACAGAGUUGUGAACCCUGUAAAGAUCGUAUGCAUGUGGCUGUGCUCGAACAAAAGUUGUUCCAACGUAGAACGAAAUGGAUAGAUCAUUUUCCUUUGAUUUGCAGAAUAUGUUGAGCACAAUUUGAGGCAGCAAAAAACCGUCCAAAACCGAACCGGCGUAAGGUUUGAAGGCAAUGCUUAAAAUUGAGUGCUCGGCAUAGUAGCUCUCCUUACUGAGGCGAGAUCAACUGGCUUUUGGAUUUCAGUAAUUUUAGUUGCCCGAAGUUCUUCCCUUCGUAAUUUUUCCUGCAAAAAUAUCUGGAACAACGUUGUGGUAUCACCCUAAUUCCUGAAAUCAUUUAACAAAGGAAACCCAAAUCCCAAGAAGCUUAGACAAAGUAAUAAAGAAAUGGGUCAUAAAAAGUCAGAUCAUAAGGAUUAGAAAUGCAUUUACAUGAUCAUUAUAAUGGCAUGUGAAUAGAAAUUUGCAAAUGACUACUUGGAAUGUGUCAUUUACAAAUUUCUUUCACAUACCAUUGCAAUGUUCAACCGGUGCAUUUCUAAAUCCUCCUCUUUAAUUUUUUAUUAUCUAUUUCUUCCUUGUUAUCCUAAAUUGCUUUCAAAAGUUCCUCAUCCAAACAUACCCUUAACUUUCCGACUCAUAUCAUCUUCAUGCAGUUGGUUAUAACAUACUAGCAGACGAAACAAUUGUCAUAAAAAGAAUAAUUAAAAAUUAUGACCAUAACCAUUUCAAUGUACGAUCAAAAUUGUAUUUUUACAUUUAGUUGUGUUUAUCAUUUUAUUUUAUCCAAUCAUUUUGUUUAUCAUUUUUUAUCCACUCAAUUGUGAGUAGUCUUCACUGACUUGGAAAAUCUAGCAUUACAAGACUACCAAGUCAGUCUCAUGAGUCACGACGAUAAGACGAUGUUGCCAUUUAGCUUUUAAUUGGGAGGGAGGGACCAAUUAGAAGGCAGGACUUGAUAAGAAGACAAAAUAUUUAUUUCACUCAGUCGACAUCAAUCUUCGCUCGAAAAAAUGAAUGGUCAUGCCAGAUUAAAGAACACGAUAAAAGAAUAAUAAAGCAAAAGCUAUUUACGAGCUUGUCCAAUGAUACUUCUUUUCUUCAUCAUGAAAGAGGUUCUGAAUUCCUAACUCAUUUUUCUAAUCAAUAAGAAAAAGAGAACUUGUUGAGAUUAGUCUUCAUUGACUUGGAAAAUCUAGUCAUUGCAAGACUACAAAAAAACUUUUUGAGGUUAGCUCAAGUGAUGGAGAUAAUUGAAAAACUUGAUAGCCACUUCCAUAGUUUACAUUUCUUUGAAUUCCAACUGCAAAACGUCAUCCAUGUACAAUUACAAAUCCAAUCACCAAGAAUCAGAUGGUAUAUUUAAUUAGGAUGCUGGAUUCAACCGAACCAAUUAUUAAUUAGGGUUAAAUAGGACUAAAUUUAGAUUCGAGUCCACUGCUAAAACACUAUCCCAAAUUAUCAUUGUGAUAAGUCGAAAUUGGACUACCAUUCAAUUUAAUUACUUAUAAAUAAUAAUCAAACACAUCCGUAUGGUUCAUUACAUCCUACGAAAGAGUGACACUUCUCUUUUUUUUUUUCUUUUUUUUUUUUGAACAAUCGAUAUUAUUUACACUAAAAGGGAGGAGAUUGGCUUAUCCUCAUAAUGGGCUAGCAAUAAUUAGUUCAAAUUCUUUUUUGGCAAGAAUCGAACCUAAGACCUCUCCCUUACAAGUGAAGAAAAAUACUAUUAGACCCUAGUACUAAGUGGUAAGUGCCACUUCUCUUUUAGCUUCGCUCAAAAUUGAUGCUCGCGAAGAUUGUCUAAAACUAGUAUCCACAAUUCUACUUUUGAGGAUUCCGAAGACUGGUGGUCUCCGCGGCCGGAUCAUGUAGGAGCAACCCCGCUCAACUCACUUUUCUGCCUCUAUUCGUACGUCGAUUGUUCGUGUACAUUAGGGACCAAAAUGAGAAGGCAGAUCAAUUUUUAAGGACAACAUUGAUUAAUGUUGGAAUUGAGGGACCAAACAGUCUCCAUAGACUCCAAUCGCUCUUUUUUUUUUUCAUUAAGAUUGGAUGACUAUUCUGAAGUAUCGAGCCAAUAAUGACUAUUUUGGUGUGUCAAGCCAAUAACGGCUUUUGCCUUUCAAAAUUGUGUUGGACAUUGGGUGUCCAAAGUUUGGGGUGUGAAACAAUCUCCAUCAAACAAAACACCAUCACAAUAAUCAUCGCUAUUAUACAACAAGGCUCAUUUUUUAUCCCACUUUGACAUACGAAAUCCCACCAAAGUGAAGCGAAUAUAAAAAUAAGAUCAAAAUCGAGUUCCACGGGGCAUUGCUAAAAGUACCACACAACUUACCAGACCUAUCACAUUCUCUUGUUCUUUUCCCUCCCCACUCAAAUGACAUGCAGGCUAAAUGACGAACGAGAGAAACAGAAAUAAGUUAUUCCUAUGAAAGAUUUUAAAGCAUCUGGAAUUUCUACUCCAAUACAAUUAGUUACCGCAAAGUUUGAUAAAAAUUCAGGCCGGAUUAUCAGCUUUACAAUUUCAGUAAAACUAUAAAUUGCAGAAUGGUUGUUUCAGUUCCUGGUAGUUUCAGUUCCGAGCAAUCUCAUCCAUACUGACAUCUAUAUACAAUAUCCCAAAACAUAUUUACGCAGACGGAUGGAUUCCAUGAAAGACGCUCUAAUAAAUUAAGUCUAAACUUUUUGACCAAAAAAACAAGUCUACUGAUUAUUUGCGGUGAACCGGAACCUAAGUCUCACCUCCUAGAUGUCUGACAUAGAGUCGAGUCUUGAAAAAUCAAAUUUUCAGCAUGAAAUCAUUGACGUUGCAGCCUGAGGCAUACUGGCAAUUUGGUUGUUCCCAGAUGUUGCUGGUGAUACGAAUCUCUCACAAUCCUUGACCCCGAUCCUUGUAAACUCUGCGACAAUCAUAGGCACAUGGUCGGCUACAGAAGUUUUGAAACGCUGUGAGCAGCUCUUGUCACCCUCAUCAACAUCUUGAACACCACCUUUGACUAGACACCCCACUUGAGCACCAUCCAUGUAUGCUUUGCAUGCCACCAGAAUGUCACGAGCACGAUUGUAGAAAUGCCCCAGAACAAGAUCCUCAAAAUGCUGCAUGCAGAUGUAAGUUAUAACUGAGAACUUAAAUGUCGCAUGAUGUAGGACAGAGUAGGCCAGUGGAAUAUAGAUAGUUUAGCGGAAGUGAAAAUAUAGAAAAAUUAAAACAAAUAAUAAAGGAUAACUGCAAGUGUGCCAGAUUUGCCUAAAGCAGCAGUUUUGGCUGCCAACUUGGGCAUUAUGACAAAAUGACCACUAAAAAUUAUUUGUCAAUAACACCAAAUAUUAUCCGCUCAUAGGUGAUGCUUGUGUAGUUGAGAACGUCAAUUGCUUAGUUAAAGAUAAUUUUCUAAUUUCUGGAUAGUAUCCAGAAAUUACUAUCAACUGAUUGUAUCAUGAAUUGGCAAACGGAAUCCUUGUAGUUUUGACUCUAUCAUUCAUUAGCAUAAAAAUUCUAUGCAGUGAUUUUCACACAACCUUCUAGCUUCUACACACCCCUCUAUAUUUCUGGCCAUUGAAUUGGAUAAAUCAAACUUAACAAUGGUAAGAAUUAAACAGGGGUAUGUGAGGCUAAAAAGGGUGUGUGUUUCUCAUUUCCUUAUAUUUAUUCAAAAAUGAAGUUCUAACACUUUCUUUCUAUAUGUUCAUUAAAAGCACUGCAAUGCUGCAUUUGGAUAAGUGAGGGAAAAUAUUUAAAAACAGGCUUAUUCUCAGAAGUUGUUAAAGUUUCUUGUUUUGUAACCAGUUGAGCACGAUGGAAUGUGAAGAUAUGUGUCGGUGGCAAUGUGGCAGUGGCGGUGUGAGUAGUAGCAGCAGUGGUUACGGAGGAAGUGACAUUGAGGGUGAUGGGAACGAGGUGAUGAUAAUCAGGUGGGGGCAAGGUUGAGGGUUGUGGCAACGAGGUCAGCAGAAAAGUGGAGACAUGAGUAGUUUUGGUAGUAGUGGUGGCAACAGUAGAGGUGGGGUGGUGGCGAGAUGUGAUGGUAGUUGUGGUUGCUCUGAAAAUUUGUUAAACAUUAAGUGUCUUGGAAUUUUGUAAUAACACCUAUGAUCUGGGAAUUUAAAGCCAGUGUUAAUGACUCUAAUUCCAGAUCUGUUUCCAUAUAGAAUUUCAAAAUUCACUUGAUACCAAACAAGAAAUUAGAGAUAGUCACUUCAGAAACUCUGACUUUCCCCUAAAUACCUAGUUCAGUCCUAUCAUCCUAAGUUCCCAAGACAGAGCAAAAGAAAUUUGAUUCCUUCUCAAACUCCAGAAGGGGCGACAUGAUGAGUUUGAAAUGAAAUAAAAAACUUCUGUGAGGAAACGGUUUUAGAAAAUAAAGGAAAAAAUUUGCAUUUUCAGAAAUUUAAGAUUAUUCUUGUUUAACACUUCAGUGAACCCAGCAUUCAUUGAUAUGCUUAGCCUGAUUAUUCUCAACUUAUCAAAAAGAUUCUACUCCACAUGAACCAUUAUAUAAAAAACUACAGCCAAAAUGUCAAGCAGAUAAUCUAAAAAGCUUCAUAUCAAUCUCAUACUGCAAAUGGACUGAGCAUAGUCUAGAGUAUCAAGAAAAUGGAGAAACAAAUCUUACCUUCGGAGGCCUCCUCAUGCUGUACACCAUUGUCUUCAAUGAUAGGAUGAAUGUAUUCUCAUUGUACUCCUCAGACCUCUUUUCACCAGCUGCUGAACCAUUCGUAUUUGCAUAUCCAGGCUCAUUAAAGUAGGGCUUUGUAUUCAAGAUCAGCCCUUGUAUAGAGACCAACACUUGUAGCAUGGUUGACACACCUGGGAGCCACUUCUCAUUCUUGUUCCCAGACCAGGUGUUAAGAAGGCUGAGGCAUACUUUUCCACAAUUGUACAAAUUUGGAUUUAAUCGAAGGCCACCAGAGUGGUAGUAGACAUUCUGCAUAACAGAGUUCCCAGUUAGGCCAAGGAUGUAAACAGAUAUAAAUCAAUUAUAGGUGUUCAAGAUUAUCACAUACCGGUGGAACAUUGGGAUAGCCACAGGGGAAGCAAACAUCAAAGAAGAAGAGACCAUCAUGGUAAGGAGUACCCUCCGCCCCAACAAUUACAGCUCUCAAAAGAUCCAUUCUUGUCUCAUAAGCUCUAACAAAUAUUGUAUCUGUAGAUGUCAAUAGAAAAGGGGUAAGUGCAUCUAAGUUUCUAUAGUACAAACAACAAUCCAACAACUAUAUUCCAUAUAUUAUAAAAUUCCAAUUAUUAGUACAAACCAAUUAAUUACAGCAGUCAGCAUCAUGAAAUAGUCGGUGCGAAUUAUUAGAGUAAAUUGAAAAGGCUGAGGGAAAACUUCACUACCAUAACAUUCAAAACAGUUAUCUAAAAGAAAAUUAAAAGUAAAAAACAGAAGAACUCACCAGGCAAAUCCUUCUCCAGGAUCUUCCACUCUUCCUGAAUUCUCUUUGCCCAACUCUUUGGUGGCUUCAGAAUGAGUAAAACCAAAGCACAAUAAGAUAGGGAAUUACAAAAGACACCAAAAAAAAUGCAUUAACUAAACCACCCAAAACUUACUUGCUUCGGUGAAUAGCCACACCUACUAAAGUGAUGGUCUGAAUGAUCUUCAACUGUAUCAAAUUUUUUGAAGCCCUUAAACUUCACUAUCAUUUCAUCCAUUUCCAUGGCAGAAAUUUUCCUCCCAGGGCUUGUUGAAAUGCCUCCUGGAGCAAGAUUGUUUUGAAUUUGCGCAUUAGCAAUCCAAGGACUACCUGCUACUUCCCCAGGAGAAUAUAAUGAAUCUAGAUCGUACAAGCUUGAAUUAAAUGGCAUAGUAUUAAAUUUGGAAAUGGGCCCGGGCCACCCAGGAAUGGGCAUGGGUUUAUAAAAAGCACUUGAACCCUUUUUCUUUAGAAUGCUAUGAAAAUACGAAGCAGAAGAUGUGUCAGCUCCGGAACCAAGCUUCAUUGCGUCAAAUUGAUUCGUCGAAGUACUUGAAGAAGCUACCUUCUUUUUUGACUGGAAAGGUCCUAAAAGCCAUUGAGACUUUGAUGACUCCUUCCCAACUGGGAGAUUAGGAGCACUCCCUUGGUGUUGUGAAGCAGGUUGUUUCUUUUUACUCCUGGCAGUUUUCGGAAGAUUCCAUGCAGAUGAUAGAUUCACUUCAGGUGGGUGGGAAAUACUAUCAAUUUGGGUCUUCAAAUUUGAACUACCCCCUAAAAGUGGCUUCUUAAUGAAAUGAUCAGGCUCUUGUUGCAUUUGAAACCUCUUAUUGACAGAACUACUUCCAGAAACUGAAUUAACUUUAUUUUUAGGAGGAUCCGACAACCAAGGAAUAGGUGCCUCUAUUCCAGGGGGAAUAUCCACAUUAUCAAAAUGGGCUUGCAAUUGGGCAUACUCAUCAACAUCCAUAAACUCAUCAAGAAAAGGAUCAGCGAAGUCAUCAUCUUCAUAUGACAAAUCAGAAGUAUGACCAUCUAAGUUGAUCACGUUAGCUGGAACAAAACCCUUAGUAGCUUCAAUCCCAUUCGCUGACUCAGGGGUUGCCAUAACAGAAGGGCCAAAAAGGCUAUUGACCUCAUCUUCCUGAAAAUACUAGUAUAUCAUAAAGUAAAUAUGUUAAGAAUGCUAAAGCUACAAUUGAAUAUUUAUCAUUCAACAAAAUGACAACAGCCAAUUGAUAGAGUGUCAUUCAAGUCAAUCAUACACCUUAUAAUCAUAGUAGCCAUCAGAAGAGUUUUCUAUUGCCUUCCCUUUGGCUUUGUUAUCAACUCUAUCAUCAAUAAGCAUUGCAGCAACUGAAUCUUCAUCUUCAUCAAUUUCAAUCACAUCAUGCCGAAUUACCUUAAGAAGGAUUAAUCAAAACAAAUAUCUGUUCAGAUUGACUGAAUUCAAACCAACAUCAGAAAACAAUAAUUUAAAAAGAAAAAAAAAUCAACAAACAAAAGGCAUCCUACAGCAAAACAAGAAUGUUCAGGAUUAGAAACGGUAGAAAAAAGUCAUUUGGUUGAAAAAUACUAAUGAAAGAGAAAACAAGAAAAUGGAUAGAAUAGGAAGUAGGAGAUAAAACCUCCUAACAAAUCUAUAAGAACCACGUUUAAUUGAAAAGAAAAGCACGUAACAAAUGCAUGAUUUUAUUUCCUCAACCAUCAUCAAGCUUGAACAAGACAUAACAACAGACGUAGUCAAUUCCUAUAAACAUGAUAUGACAUUCAAUAAAACGGAAGAAAGACAAUGCCUGCAAAGACACCUUCAUCCAGCCCUAAAAGAAAUAGAUAAUGGUAGCAGCAAACCCGGCUCUAUGCAUGCAAUUCAAUACACUCUAAACUCAAUUGAAAUCAUGGAAAGAAAAUUUAACAAAAGACAGAUUGAUAACAGGAGACGGAAGUUCAAUGUCCUCAUUAUAAACAGGACUGCCACGAAAUUGUUCAACAACGUAAACAAUAACGGGUGCGAAUGAGCUUGAGACAAUGCUUUAGCAAUACCCAAAAAACAUAAUCUUUCAGGAAAUCGGGAACAAAUGAAUAUCACUACCAAAAAAUUGCUGAAAGCCUAAAACAAAAUUAACAAAACAAAAAAAAAAUCUAAAAUUUGGGCAAUUAAGUGCCAAGAUUUUUACACAAAUGUUCCAAUCAACUCGUAUUAGUCCGAAGUCACACGUACCCUAAAAAACCCAAAAUUUAACACUGAUUACUGAUCAAGACGGUAACUUGAUCAAUCAAAGCAGAUUACCAGCUCCAAAAGAACACUAAUUUCAUCACAAUUCCAUGAUCGAACCAGGUAAAUCACAAGAACCAUCGAAAAAUUGAGUUCUCGAUCGAUAAAACGACAGAGAAACUGUACCUCUUUGAGUUUGAGUUUCUGAAAUUUGGGGGCCCGAGUGAUCGGAGUAGCCGGCGGCGAAAUCUCCACGACGUCGUCGGAAUCCAUGCACCCAGAACCCCUAUCGGAAAACAACCGCUUCUUCCUGUUUGGAGCGAAAGAAAAUCAGAGAAAACAAAAGAGAGAGAGAGAGAGAGAGAGAGAGAGUUUUGUUGUUUUGAAAAUUUAGAUAGAGAAAUAGAGUACUUGGAAUUCCGAGGGGUGUUUGUAUGUAACGGCGGCGGCUCCAUUGGACCGGCUGUUCUGAAUAGCAGUCGGUUUGAUUUGGGGGAAUGCGAAAGGGCCACCAAAUAAAAUUAUAAAAGGGGAUUCAGCGGCUGAGAGAAGCGGCGGCUCGGCAGCUGAGCGGCUGGGGAGGGGGAUUAGGGAGAAAAGCGGGUUUAGGAAAGCGCUUUAGGAGAAAAGUGCUUUUGGCAGAGAGUGGGUUCGCGCGCCUUGUGAAGGAAGAUCAGCAUAAUAGAUUAUUACGACGACCAAAAGAGAGUGUUUGUGUGUGUGUGCGAGCGUUCCUUUUCUUACUAAAUAAUUAAAUGCACACGUUUUGCGCCUGAAUUACCAUUUAUACCACUUCUCCCACUGCACACAACGAAACCUUUUUUUUUUUUUUUUUUUUUGGGUCGAACAACGAAACCAAAUUAUUUCGGUAAUCAGAAAUAAAAAAACCGAACCAAAAUUUUCGGUUUAUAAAAAAUCAGUAAAACCGAAAGGGACAUUUUGAUAUAAGCGCCUCGUUUUUUAAUUUUUUAGACUAAACAUACACUCCUUUUGAAAAUUUGAUCAAACAUUUUCAUAAAAUUUUGGUUAUUAAUUUCAGUUCCUAUUAUCCCUAUAUUUAUGCAUUUAUUAUCCAUCUCUAUGCAUUUUUUUUAUUGUUUGUUAUAAUAUUUACUUUUUUGUGUGAAUAUAGUAGAAUAUUUAUAAAAAAAAAAUUGUCAAAUUUUAUUAUUUAGAAGACCCAACACAUAGUAAAGAUUUGUUUGAUUAUAUACCUACAUCUAGUUAGUUACCUAUAAUAUGGACACAUUUAGUUUUAUAGUGGAUUUGAUUUUUUGUAUUUCUUGGUAAUUUGGAAUGUAAAUGUACCAAAAGGGUUAUCUGAUAUAGACAUUUGGUUUUGUGGUACAUUUGAGAUUUUUUGUUCAUUUGGUCUUUUGGUACAAUAGGAAUCUAAACGUACCAACACGAUUACCUGACAAUGAGCACAUUUGGUUUUAUGGUACAUUUGGUUUCUCUGUAUAUUUGAAAUCUAAACGUACCAAAAAGGUUACAUAACAAUGGGUACAUUUAGUUUUAUGGUACAUUUGAAUUUUUGGUACAUUUGGUUUCUCGGUGCAUUUGAAAUCUAAACGCACCAAAAGUCAAUACUUUUGUUCUCAAAUGUACCAUAAGUUUUAAGUAUAUUUUUAAUAUAUCUAUACAUGAAAAAAAAAUAUGUAUUGAAGACUUUUUAUUGAUACAAUUUUAAUAGAAAGAGUAUUUUUUUUUUUAAAUACUGAUAAUAAGGAAAUGAAGAAUUAAUUAAUUAAUUUUUUAUUUUAUUUUAUUAAAAAAUGUCAUUUAAUGCGCAUAAGGGGAUUGAGGAAAUUAAAUUCCUAUAUUAUAGGCAAUUAGUUGCUAAGCUACGUUAUGCCUCUAUAUAAAUGCAUUUAAAUUAAUGACAUGGAAAUUGAAUAAAUAGAAAAUUAUUGAGGUGGCAAUUGAUUGAAGCACCUUAAUCAAAUCUUUAAAAGGGAUGAAUGUUUAAUCUAAAAACUAUAGAAAAUAUUUAGGGCAUUCUAAUUUUCCCAAAUCGAAAUAAUAUCGGUUUUUAGAUCGAUUUAAUGAACCAUGGAGGAUUCGACAGCAGAAUUACAUUUUUUUUUGUGGGUAGACUAGACUAGACGAUGAAAUUGCAAGAGAAUUUGAUCGAGAAGUUGCAGAGGAGUUACAGAGAAGAAGUUGUAGAGGAGAAUCUUGUGCAAAAUCAGAGUGGUGUGGCAUGCAUGAGUUGGUGUGGUCAGAGAAGUUGCAAAGGAAAAGUUGGGAGAGGGAGGGAGGGCGUUGACAUCGAGGACUCAAGAGAGGUGAAGUGAGAGGGUAAAACUGAGUGAAUACCUAAGAAAGAAAGUGAGUUGAGUGUAAAGGCUGAGAUUCAAUCUCAAUGAAAUCCAACAAUUCAAGCUAAGAACUUGAUCAAAAUAAGACUUUGGACCGGAAUAACUUUAUUUAUCAUUCAUUCCCCAGUAAUGUAAAGUGUUUUUUCUCUUGCAUCGUUCCUUUACAUGUGUUAAAGUGGCUUAAGACUCCUCAAUAAAGCUCAUCCUCUUUCUUUUCUUCUUCGAGAAUGCCUGAAUUGUGAGACUUGUAGGUUCUGGUGGUAGAAUAUUAAUUCAUUUAAUAAAUAAAAACAUUUCAGUUCUGUUCGGUUAUAGUGAACUGUGGAUGCAAAUUUCCGCCUUCUUCUUCUUGGAUGAAAAUGCACUUGCAAAAUAAUUAACAACUAAGAUCAAGGCCAAGGCCCAAAUUUAGAAUAUAAGAGAGAAAGUGUUUAGAGAAUUUUAGAAGAUAAUUAGACUUAGGUUUUUGGAGAAAUGAGGGGCUAUAUAUAGGGGUGUGGCCAGCCCUAUUUGAAGAAAUGCGGACCGGCCACUUAUAGUGGUUUCUUGGCUCUAAUUGCAAGAUAUUAUGUCAAAUAAUAUCUUGCAAUCAAUUAGGAAAUUAAUCAAUUAAUUUUGGUAAUUAAUCCCAAUUUGAAAAGGAUAAUUGAGAGUUACCUUGUGGGUGAAGAUUUGAUGAAGAGUGAUGAAAAGGUUUAAAGAAUUACCAUUUUGAUCGCCUAUGACCUUGAUUGAGCCGUUAUUGUCUGUUGAAUGCGCAUGGGAGUCUUGGUGUGGGUCAAGAGUAAUUUUGUUUUUUUACGCAAAAGUCCACAUGUCGCCUCAAUAUUUUUUUUGAUUAUUUUUUGCUCCACAAAUACCCCACACAUGUUGGGCUGCUCGUAGGAAAUGGUAGCAGGUGUAGAGAUCUUCUUGCUUUAGGAAACAUAGGAUUGUUUCCUAUUUUGAUGUAGAUUCCCUCUUUAAUUGGAAAUUAGAUCAUUAUAGGAAAAAGAAAUAAAUUACUUCUAAAGUCUAUUUAAGUCUACCUUAAGUAGAUUAUUAAAUCAACUUCAAAGAGCAAUUUAUUAUACCGUACAAGAGAGAGAAAGCUAGAGGAUAUUUGUUCCCCAUCUCCUACCAAUCUUCUACACUUGCCCGUGCAAAUGAUCAUCUUUCGUUGCUUUCUUCGUCUUCAUGCCACACCAAGGUAAGAAAAAAUUAAUUUUUCCUCGUCUUAAUUUUUGGGAGCCUCGGGGCUUGAAAUUUAGCUCGAUAGAGGUCGAGAAGGAGUGAAAAAUUGGUUAGGAUGCCACGACAUGGUUGUUGCUGUAGGGCUACUUGGUGCGGCGGUGGUUUGCUGGGCCAGGUUAGUGGAUUGGGCUGAGAAGGCUUAGGCCUUUUUUUUUUUUUUUUGCUAGUCUCGGGCCCAUGCAUGAGAGAAGAAAGAAAGGGGCCGAUAGUUGUUGGGCUUGCGGGCCACUGGCUUAGCCCUCCUAGGGUGCAUGCCCUCUUGCUUCUGAUUUGGGCAGAAAGGCCUAUUGGGCUAAGUGAAGUGGUGCAAUCUAGGCCGUGGGGCAUGGCGCUGCUACUGGGUCAUGCGGUCUUGGGCCGUGGGGCCUAGUACGCUGAGUCUUUUUUUUUUUUUUUUUGCAACCAUCUAACGAAUUUUCCUCAUGUCUUUGUAGAGUUUUUUUUAGCAUGUCUUCUUCAAGCCACAAGGGGGACAAUGAUGUACCACCGUUGUUUCGCCAAGGCAGGUCUUUAAGUAAGGUGGUUCAUUUCAAAGCUACUCACUUCAAAAUUAGCUCUGAUGAUUCAUUUAGAGAUUUUCUUGAGGCAUAUAGGCACACCAUUUCGUCGGGGGUGCAUGUGAAACAUGUCAAGGAAAGUAGUAGCCAUGAGCCAUGUAGUGGGGCCAAGAGCGCCAUCAAGUUUUACCCCUACUACUUCGUGUUGGGAUUUUCUUUCCCUAUGCCGUGUUUCUUCCAAGAAAUGUUAUGCUCCAUGAAGUGUGCCUCCACUCAAUGUUCUCAGAAUGUGGUACGUAUGAUGGUGGGGUUCUUCAAUCUAAGCCAAUUAUUUGACUUGAAUCUGACUGUCAACGAAUUCUAGUACUUCUUUGACAUAGGCCCCAUCGAGGGGGUUGGGCAGAUGCGAUCCCACCAUAGGCUCUUUGACCAUUCGAGGAAGGGCGAUCAUGACUGGGCCAAGGAAACUUUGGAGAUAAAUGGAGAAUGAGAGUCUGAUUCUUCCCCCAAGCUGCGUGUUCCAACGGUUUUCAUCUCCAAUAAGUAGAUUGCUUGGUUCAUCGGCUGCUUUGUGCUUUUACCAAGCCGCUUUCUGAUUUACUAAUUGUCUUCUUUUGCUCUUGUAGAUUCGAAAUUCGGCUCGACACAUAAGACUUCCCCUGAUAUAAUGAAGGUGCAUGUUGCACUAAGUAUCCAUUUUGAGUACCAAGAGUGCUGUUAAUUACUUAGUCCACUUCGCCGGGAGAAAUGUGGGUUGCCCCCGAGAUAAGAGAUAAGAGAUAAAGUCAAUUAAGGUAGAGGCACUAGCUCAUCCGAUUGUCAUUGUAGAGCCCACCGUAAAUAAAGGUGGGAAAAAGAAAUCUUCCCCGCUUACUCAAAAGAUGUCGGUUGAGAAAAAGCUAAAAAUUUCUUCCGUUGUUCGCGAGGGUUUGUCGGCUACCUCCAGGCUUUUGAUUGACUUGACUUCUUCUAAGAGGGAGAAAGACAAGGCUGACAGAUCUGCGCCAGUGACGUCUGCCGUUCCAAAGGUGGCUAGUUCGAUUGCUCAACGUAGAAAUUCUGUUGUGCCCCUAGUGCCAAAAUUUAUGCCAAAACCCCGUCGAUGGCUAAAUCUGGUUCACCUUUGGAUAAACUUGCUACUAUAAAGAGCAACAAGGUGGACUUUGCUGCUAAAGUGGUGCCAAAAUACAUUCCCCUCGUUGCUGAGAAAAAAGCCUACUCGCGUGGGCAAUUUUGAGAAAUAUACCAAGCCUUUAUCCAGGGUGGCUGCUGAGAUUUAUGCACUCUUGAAACCAAAUCUUCUUCAAGACAUAGAUGUGUGUGCUAAGUUUGGUGAUGACGUUAAAAUAGUUGUCUACCCAAGUUCCUUUGCAAAGCAUACAACUGAAUAUAGAAAGACUGCUUUUCUUGCUAUGAUGUAGAAAACGGCGAUUCUAGCAGCCGAGUCUAUGCUCCUUGACUAAGAGGAUACCAAGGUAGCCAAGGGGAUGGCAAAGACUAUGGCAAGCGAAGCCUAUUCUUCGGCUGAGAAGAUCAAGAGGUUGGAAUCUGAGCUUACUGCUUUCAAUAGGUCUAAUAUCUCCGCCCCUACUUCUCUGCAGCUUGAGACCACUCACAAAGAGAUUGUGGAUUUGAAGACUAGGCUUGAUGCGAUCCAAGUUAAGUAUGAAUGUGCAGAGAAUGAGAUUGGAUGUUACAUACCUCAUAUUCAAGACUUUGAGAGUGCCAUCUCUGAGUUUCGCUCUACUGCUUACGCAAAAGAUAGAGAGCUGAUUGCUACUUAUAAUCAAGUGAUCCACUUCAAAAAGGUCAUUGGUAUGCUUAAACCCCAAAUGUUGGAACUCUAAAGUGCUUUGAAGAUCAACGAAAGUCUGAAAAGGGAAAUAGAUGAGCUGCAGCGCAUCCGUGUUAGCCUGCUCAAGGAGAAUGAGCAGUUGAAGGGUGAAAAAGCUGGGCUGGAGACUUCGCUUGCUCAAAGUCAAGCCGAUUUCCACAAGUUGGGUUAUGUAGACCAUCUUUUUGGUAAGCCGUCUGACUUUGAGACCUUCUAUAUUUCUUCGAAAGACUUGCUUGUUUUUACUUUCGAGGCUUCCAUUAGUGAAGUAGUUAGAGAAGUUGGUGCCUAGGCUGGAGUAGCUGAGGGUGAAGCGUCGAAUGGUGCUGUUGUUGAGAGUGUCGUAGCAACUAAAAGUAUGACGGCCGAGUGAUUGUGAGAUGCCCAAGUUGCUGAAGAGUAGUUUUAAGGUAGUUUUUAGGAUUUUCUUUGUUUUCCUUGUUGCUUUGCUUGAACUCUUUCGGCCUUCGCUAGUUGUUUAUUAAUUUUGCUAGAAAAUUUAAUAAACUUGCUUCCUUCGUUUUUCUUCAUCUUCGCUUCUUUUGUUCAUGCCCAACCUCUGACUUCUAGACCAACGAUAGGUGUGCUACUUUUUUUAUAAGCAAAUAGACCAGCGUAGCCUAUGCAAUAAUGGAUGUUGGUGUAGAACUUUUGCAAAGUUGUUAGCCAUAGGGUCGGCAGUCGGACGCCUUACUUACAGAAGCAAAUGAGUCUGUGUGACCACUUAGCUUUCUUCAAUCCAUUGAGUUGCGUGGCCUACUUCACAACAUACUUUAUGUAACCAAUUACAUGGGUUGGGUAACAAGUAUCACAACACUUUAGGAAUUAGUGUAGAUCAUUUCGCGCUUUGGCAGAAAUGAAGCCCAUCGACUACAUAACAUGCCGACAAUGGAUUAAGCUUCGUAUAUGCACGCUAACUUGUUUAACCUUUCACAGAAAUGUGCAUUUGUAUAAGUUUAACAAGGCUUACUGCUCGAAGGGCAAGCCGUAGGCAGUUUUUUGAAAACCGUAAGCUACCUUAAUGCACUCGGUAGCAGCUUUAGGGUUCCAUGGCAGAUGUCUAUAGGACAUACUGCGUAAUGUGCCCCUACGUCUCUAGGGCCUGGUUUUUCCACGGAUUAGGCCAAAAGACCCAAAAUCCUUCAAUUAGCUAAGCCUUGAAAAAGACCAUUGGGCUACUUCUAGGAAUCUCGGCGCAAGCCAUUGUGCACCUAGUUAUACCAAGGCAGCCUGACUCAUCUAUGUCUGGAUAUUCAUAGUGUAAAGUUUAUCCUCUUACAUUGGAGAACGAACCCAUAUAGGUGUCGGGGAAUUGGUACCCUCUCGCACUAGAGAACAUGGUCCUGCGAUGAGUCCCUAAGAAGAGCGCGAUCUUCUUUUGAAGUGUAGGAGUGAUCAGUUGUUGUAAACAUGUAGUCAAGCCAAGUUGUAAAUUCUUCUAAAUUCCUCAUUGAAAAACGAGUGAAACAAACGAAAACUUAGCUAUAAAGUAAAGACUGCAUAAUAACUGGAUAAUCCUCGGCUCGCGAGGUGGUGUUUGUUUAGCUGCUUAAGUCUUCGGGCUUUGAUGUAAUAUGAGGUCACACAUGGUACUUCCUCAUAUUAUAGGUGUUUCACUGUUUUUCGAUCUCUUUGUCGUUAAUGGUGGUGAGGGUGUAACUACCCUUGCCGCCUACUUUGUUGAUCUUGUACGAACCUUCCCAAAUGGGAUCCAUCUUUUUGGAGCCUUCUUUGAGGGCAAUGAUGAAGGUUUUUCUUAUGACCAAAUCUCCAGGCUGGAACUAUAGGAUCUUAGCCCUUUUGUUAUAGCUGAAGAUGAGUUAUUGUUGGUAGGCUGCGAUAUGGGUGAUGGUCUGUUCACGUUUCUCCUCUGCCAGAUCUAAGCUUGUGGUUAUCUCCUUACUGUUAUACUCGACAUUUGGCAGUAAAGUGCUGAUACUUGGCACAAUGACAUUGGGAUGAAUGAUUGCUUCUGAACCACAUGCCAAAGAGAAAAGAGUAACUAGUGGCUCGUCGUUUGGUGGUGUGAUAUACCCAUAGACAUUCAGGGAAUUCGUCUAGCCACUUUCCCUUUUUGUCGGAAAGGAAUUUCUUAAGGCAUUUGAGAAUCGUCUUGUUGGAUGCUUCGACCUGCCCAUUUCCUUGAGGAUAUAUUGGCAUGGACAUGUGCUACUUGAUGUCAUACUUUUGGAAGAACUUUGCCAAAUCUUUGCCUAUGAAUUACAGACUGUUGUCUGUGACGAUGGAUUGAGGGAUGCAAAAUCGACAAAUGAUGUUCCUCCAUAUGAAACGUUCUAUGUUCGUCUAAGUCGUGGUUGUCAUGGGCUUUGCUUCUACCCAUUUGGUGAAGUAAUCGGUUACCACGAUCAUCAUGCAUCUGCCCCUAGUAACAGGUGGCAUAGGCCCUACCAAGUUGAUUGCCAACUGCAUGAAUAGCCAAAGACUCGUAUGUAGGUGUAGUUCGCUGUUAGGCAGUGCGAGUAUCGUCUUCGUCGAUUGAGCUUAGAACCAUUAGGUCGUCGGAAAGUGCUAGGCAGCGAAGAUGUGGUCUAGUGUAUGAUCUUCGAAAGAGAAUGUCGUUCCACAUGUAGUAGUAUGCUGCCUUUAUUUAGAGCUUUCUAGACUUCAACAUUUCCAUGGGAAGUGUGUCAUUGACCAGGUAGUCUAUAAUGGAACUUUGCCAGUUUGGAGUUGUACUAACCUGUAACACCUCAGCUACUGGUUACGCCUUUAUGCUUGGUUUGUCUAGAUACUUCACCAUUAUAGAGCGUUUAAGUUGGUGGUCGAAGGUAGAGCCUAGGCCAGCUAGCGCGUUUGUGUGGGUAUUGUCUGCCCGUGAAACUUGAGUAAGGGUGUAAGUCUGAAAUGCUUCUAGUUACUUUCGUACCUUCUCUAGGUAUUCUGUCAUCAUUGGAUGCUUUGUCGUGUACUUCCUAGUAGUUUGGCUAGUGAUUAGUUGAGAAUCGGAAUGAAUUGCUAACUUUUUCACCGCCAAGUCUUUUGCCAUUCGGAGGCUUGCUAGUAGGGCUUCGUACUCCACUUCGUUGUUAAAUGCUUUAAAGCCUAGAGUGAUUGCUUGCUCAAGCAUUCAACCGUCUAGGGUAACAAGGACCACGUCUGCUCCCGGGCCUUUGUAGUUGGAUGCGUCGUCGACAUGCAAAUGUCAGAAGUCUCCAUUGGGUGGAGCAAGCAUGGCUAAAGUGUGCUUGGCUGCCUCGGGGGCGUCGUUGGGCAGCUCUAUUGCGUCACCUAGGCUAGGCAUGAAUUCUACUAUAAAGUCCACCCGAGCUUGGGCCUUUAUCACCGUACGAGGUCAGAAAACUAGACCAUAUUAACCAAGUUCCAACGCCCAUUUCAUAACUCGUUGAGAAGCAUCUGGACCAUAUAAGAUUGAUCGUAGCGAAUACUAAGUCAUGACUAUGAUUGUAUGAGCUUGAAAAUAUGGUUUAAGCUUUCGAGCCGCAACAACUAGCACCAAAAUUAAUUUCUCAAUCUUUAGAUAUCUGGUUUCCAUAUCGAGAAGAGCUUUAGAAGUAUAAAAUAUCAACAGUUUGGCCCCCAGCUCUUCUUGUAUAAGGGCAAAGCUCACUGCUACCUCUGAGACUGCCAAGUAAAUGUAUAAAUCCUCCACUGCUUCUGGCUUGGAUAGUAAGGGAUAUGAUGUAAGAUAUUUCUUCAGGUCUUAGAAAGCUCUUUGGCACUCAUCAUCCUAUUUGUCUCGUUGUGCCCUCUUGAUAACCUUGAAAAGGGCUUGCAUCGAUCGGUAGACUGUGAGAAAAAGUGGUUGAGGGCGGCUGCUUAUCCGGUCAAGCUUUGGAUCUCCUUCAAGGUAGUUGGAAAUUUCAACUCUACGAUCACUCAGAUUUAUUUGGGAUGUGCUUCGAUUCCUCGUUGGGUUACUAGGUACCCUAAGAAUCUGCCUGAAGAUACUCCAAAUGUGCAUUUGGCGAGAUUAAGCUUCAUCUUGUACUUUCUAAAGAUGUUGAAAGUUUCCGCCAAGUUGCUGAUGUGGUUUAACCGCUGCUUGCCUUUUACCAUGAUAUCGUCGACAUAGACCUCCAUGGUUACUCUAAUUUGCUUCUUGAAAAUCAUGUUUACUAAUCUUUGGUAAAUGGCUUCCGUAUUCUUGAGGUCAAAUGGCAUAACCUUGUAGCAGUAUGUGCUUCGCUCGAUCACGACCGCAGUUUUCUCCUUGUCUAGCUCAUACAUGGUUAUUUGGUUGUAGCUGAAGUAUGCGUCUAAGAAACUGAGCAGCUGGUUCCCAUAAGUUGAAUCUACUAAUAGAUCAAUUCAAGGAAGUGGAUAAGGAUCAUUUGGGCAUGCUUUGUUGAGGUCAGUGUAGUCUACAUAACCCCUAUAUUUUUCCUUCUCUUUCUUCUUCAUUAGCACAACUUUGGCAAGCCAAGCUGAGUGUGAUACUUCUUAUAUGAAUUUGGCCUCCAAUAGCUUGUCAAUUUCCGAUUCGAUGAUUGCUACUCGCUCCGGCUCGAAAUGUCUUCUUUUUUGGAUCACCGGUUUGGUAACAGCAACGUGCAGCUUAUGGUAAGCUAUCUUGGGGUCGAUGUCAGGCAUGUUCGAAGGUGACCACGUGAAGACGUCGUGAUUUUCCCUAAGGAAAACAGUAAGUUCUACCUUUUCCUUUGGGCUCAGACGUGAGCUGAUUCUAGUGGUAUUCUCUGACUGCUGAAAAUCAAGAACGAUGUGCUUGACAUCCUUUUCGAUUUUCCAUUUUAUGUCAUCUGCUGGUGCGUUGGUUUGGACAUCAUCUUUUUGAUCUGUUUGCUGUAAUUGCUAUUUGGUAGCUUCGUCAUCCCCUUGGACCUCAGUAGCCUUUAUUGGGGUAAAGGUCAUCCAUUUUGAUUCCUUUAAUACUUGCACAGUGCAUCGUCAAGAUGUGGCCUAGUCAGACUUGAUUUCUCCAACUCCUCCUCCUGGGAUGCGAAAUCAAAAUUUUUGAUACUUGACGGAAGUGACAGCAUCCAGCUUUAUCAGCCAAGGUUGCCCUAAAAUCUCAUUGUAGGGAAACAAGUCGCUUACUAUUGUGAAAGUCUACUUUGAGACAACUGGCGGUGUUUUCACGUCAAGUGUGAUGUGGCCGAUGGCAAUUGAGGUGUGUCUAUUAAAACCAGUGAGUACUUCUGCUCGACACAUGAUUGUGUUUUCUAGGCCCAUCUUCUGAAUUAUUGAGAGCUGAAGUAAGUUGACUGCACUUCAGUUAACAACCAUCAUUCUGUCGACUAUAUCGUGGGCUAGUUGGACAAAUACCACCAAUACGUCAUCAUGUGGGAAGUCGAUGCCCUCGGCAUCUUGCUCGGUAAAGCCAACGAUAGGUCCAGGUUGGGUGUUGAUUGCCUAGACUUGUGAGACUAGUAGAGCCUGAUGAAUCUUCAUCUUCAUAGAAUUGUUGGUGGCCCCUAAAUGCUCAGAUUCGACGAAGAUGUAAUUAAUUUGAAUUGUCUUAGUUUGCGGUUCUUCGUUAGCGUCUGUGUUCCUUCUAGACUGUGCAACUGGCUUGUCCAAGUAUAUGUUGACCUUGCCUUCCUUCACAAGCUUAUCUAGGUAAUUCUUCCAAGUAUAACAUUCGUCAGUUGUGUGAACAGAAGAUGUCAUUAAUUCAAAUCGUCUUAGUUUGCGGCUCUUCGUUAGCGUCUGUGUUCCUUCUAGGAUGGACAGCUAGCUUGUCCAAGUAUCUGUCGACCUUGCCUUCCUUCAUAAGCUUAUCUAGGUAAUUCUUCUAAGUAUAGCAGUCGUCAGUUGUGUGAACAGGACCUCGGUGGAAUGCGCAGUACUUAGUGUGGUCCAACUUGGAAAUAUCUCCAUUUGAUUGUUUUGGCAGCUUGAACCAUGGUUCACUCUUGAUGUACUAAAGGAUUUAGUGAAUUGGGAUCGAGAACUUAGAGUAGUUCUUGGGCGUCGGGCCUCCUUUAGUUGAGGAUCAAUCCAUACGUUUGACUAUCUGCCUGUUUUUAUUGCUAUAUUGUUUUCCGUCUUCUUUCUUUUAAGCCACUGCCGAUUCUUUUCAAGGCUGCUCGAGUGCCUUGUUUGCUCGCCGAGCCUCGUCCCAAAGUGAAUGCUUAUCUGCUAGAGUGAAAGAGUCUGCCAAAUUUAGAUUUUCUUUCAUGAUCAAUUCUCCAAACAACGAGUGGUCUGUUAGAAGUCAUUUUUGGAAGGCUGCACUUGUUAUCAAGUCGUCACAUCUGAUUAUCUUCACCUUAUCUGUUUUGAAUCUUUUCACGUAGUCGCAUAGCGACUCUUUUAGAUUCUUCUUCACAUUGAACAAAUGAUCGGACUUCUUCUUAAUCGAGCGGUAUGACGAAUAUUCUUUAGUGAAAACAAAAUAAAAAUCAUCGAAACUCCGAAUGGACCAUGGCGGUAAGGUGUGGAACCAAUCUUGCGCCUCGCCUUGUAAAGUGGUGGCGACUAUCCUGUAUAUAAGGGCAUUGUUGUUCCAAUAAAGGACCAUUGUGCUUCGGCAGUGCUUCAAGUGUCUCUUCGGAUCUCCAUCUUCAUCAGUGACCUCAUUGCAUUGAAAAUCAUGCAAUCGCUCAAUCAUAAGUCUUUUUACUUCUUCCUGAAUUUUCCUUUGUUAGGGUACCGGAGCUCUCGACUGCCUUCGGUCUUAACCUGCUGGCCUAGGCUACUUUUCUAUGUGUUCGGCUUGUCUAUGUCGCGGCUACGGUACGUGUGGUAUGUUCUUAGUGGGCGAACGAAUUUCUCAUAGAUUGCCAAUUGAACUUGAGCUGGAUUGAAUGACCGCUUCUCUCCGUCCGUCAUGCUAUUUACUCCGAUGUGAGGGGAAUAUGCUCUUUGCAAGCCUAGCUGCUAAUGAACAUUUUGCCUAGAAGAUUGCUCAUGUUAACUAUCAGAGUGUGGUCCCAACCGUGAGUGUAUGCAUAUCCGUGAGCCUAACCGAAACUACACGUUCUUCCGUGCACUACGACAAGAGUAUACGCUAUCUCGGGGGCCUAGUCGAGAGUUUACACUGCUAGAGCGCUCGGUUCGUGGCUGGUCGAAUAGCUGAUUACUGGGAAGUUGCUGGAGAGGUUCUUCGUCUGCCCUUGUCUUACAUUGGGACACCUCGUCAAGGGCACGUUGCAUCUUGGUGCGCUACAAGAGCUGAUUCACCAAGGUCAUCUGUUGUCCAAGUGCACUCAUCAACUCUAUAACUUGUCAAGAGAAGUGUUGUUCACCAUUUGGGUUGGAAGAGCUUGGAUGAAAUGCGUCUCCUUGAGUAGUGGAAGUGUGGUAGACUCUAGGCGUAAGAUUUGAGUUGGGAAAUGUCAAAUCCAUGGAAAAAUGUCGUGAAAAUGCCCUCGGUUCAACUGUUUGCCUAGAAAUUUGGAGCCAUGACGAUUUAACCAUUCCUAUACUAGUUUGGGCUGCUUAGGACAUCAUAGGAGUGGAUUGGGCCACGAGAGUGGGCAGGGUUGCAUAUGACGCAUGUGGGUGUGAGGCUUGGACUCGGCUCAGGUACACACUAGGCUAGUGCUAGGUCGUGGCUCGGGUCAGCUUUCUUUGGGCAUGGGCCCAUGUGGUUUGAAGUGGCAAAGGUCGCUAGGUUGCAUUCGACGCAACUUGGGCCUGCAUGUCCUGGGUCGUGCGCUGAGCUUGGGUUUGCGCUGCAAGGGCAACAGCUUGGGCUACUCUCUGCGCCUAGGCUUGCUACUCACCAUGAGCUAUGGGCUUGCCAAAAGUUGCCACGAUGGUGGCUACCGUGGUGGUUGCCACUGUGCUGCCCCGUGUGGGUGGCGUCGCUCCACUUGUUGUCGCGUUAAGCCUUGUGGAUCGUCAUGGUCCUAAUUCUUGAACGUUAGAAUUUUCAUUCGUCGUGGUUUCUGAAUCUCUUGCCAUCUGAUAGGAGCAUAUUUAUGCGACUUAGUUAGCUUGUUUUCUUGCAUUUUCGUAGUUAGUUUGUGUUUAUUAUAGUGAUUUAAGCUAUUUUCGUGUUUGUAGGUCCAAUUGACAAAGUUGGCAAGAAAGUGCGAUUUGGAGCAUUUUGAGGCAGUUUUGGGCAUCAAAUGGAUAGCUUAUGAAUGGAGCAAGAUGGAUGGACAAAUUUGAAGUUCAAGAGGUUAGGAAUGUGCUGAAAAGAUGAAGAAAAUAAAUUCAAGACAAAAAAGAUAAGGAAUUAGCUCAAAAAUGAACAUUAUCCAAAACCUUAUCCAACCUUAUCUUAUCCUACCCUAAUCUUAUCCUACCUUAAAUCUAGCUACAAGAGGACCUAAAUAUUUGAUUUCUAGAAGGCCUAUCAUUUCCCUACAUUUAUGCCUCACCUUUAUCCUUUUAGAACCCUUAAAUUGGUGCUGAAACAUCCUUUCUAGACGUCCCUACAAAUCUAGCGCCUCCCCCUCUUCUAGAAGCUCUAGAACUUGAAACCCUAAUCCUUUUCCCUCUUGAAUUAGGCCAAAUUUAUCCCUUUCCUUGCAGGAAUUAGUGAUGCACCUUUCUAACCUAAUCCCCUUUGGUUUCUGAUUGUUUUAACCCAUUCCACUUAGGUUUUGGUUACACAAACCUUGUCCCACUUUGAUUUCAGAAACCUAUCCUAAUCCUUAGGGAUUGUGACACACCUAGCCCUAUAAAUACAUCAUUAUGCGCCUAUUUCAGAUUCACCACUCUCUACCAUAUUUUUCUACAUCAUUCACCAACACACCUCAUUGUGCCGUAGCUUUGCAAGGAGAUAGGAGAGAGGAGCCAUUUGCCGUGCCUUGUCAUUCACAUUGGAUUGCUGGAGCGUUCUUAAGUGUUUUCUAUCUUUUACUUUCAAUGUCUAAUUUAAUGUUAUCUUCAGUUUUUAAAGACAUGUGGAACUAAUUUCUUUAUAGUUAGAAGUGAAUUCGAAGUCAUGAUUAUAUGCUUUAUAUGAAUUGAUUACAUCCAGUUAUUGUUUCUUGAGUCUUGAAUGUGAUUUGCUUAUCUAAGUUAUUAAAACUUGUUUAUGUGUGUCAAUUAAAGGUCGACAAUUAAUUUGCAUGCAUGAAUUUGAUGCUAGAGUAUAAGGGAGUUUCACCUAAUCGUUAUGAACUUAUAUUCACAAGUAGUGGAGGUUGCUAGUCACGAUCGUGUUAAGUAAAUCCUUGGCAGGAGUAUCAUGCUUUUCAUAGUUACGAAUGCCUCGCCAAUGCUUAUGAUUUUCAAAGAACUUAAUGACCUUUGAUAUGUUUUCUAUCAUGCUUUUCAUAGUUAGGGGACUUAAGAAGGAUAAUUUGGUUGUGAUGCGUAUCCAGUCCAAUUCAAUGAAAUAAGGAAAAUCUAAUGGUUAAUUUGUGCUGUCACGGUUAACUUGGGGUGUUGUCAUUCAUGGUUUAAAGGAAUAAUAACUGGAAAUUGAUUUGUUUGCAUAUGUCAUGUGUGGAAAAUGACCCUCUAACUAGCAUUUCACCCUUUUAAAUUCACCAAAUUCGUUAUCUUAAAGUGUUUUAUGCAAAGUUUCUGUUUUAAGUUUUAAAUUCGUCAAAAACAAUCCCCCAUUCAUUAAGUCUAGUUAGUUGAGUCAUAAUAUGUUUUCUUUUAGUCUUUUGAGUUAAGUUAAGUUUUAUUUUCGUCCAAAACACUUGUUAGGUCUGAAUUGAGUCUUUUGAUUGUUUGUUGUUGUUUUGAGUGUUUUAAGUCUGUUUUGAGUCUAUAGAGUCUAAUUUAGUGUUUUUGAGUCUUAUUUGUGUAGAUUAGCAUCCCCAGUUAAUUCCCAAUCUAGAACGAUCCCUAUUUACAUCUUUGCUACAAUUGUCAUCAAUAGGGUUUAAUUUGUGUGUCAAGUUAAUUUUCACAUCACCAUCGUAUUUUUCUUUUACGUUUAUUCAAAGAUUUUUUGUAUAAAAAAAAUUUAGAAAUAAGAACGUACAAAAAAUUAGAAACCUUGAAUGCGAGAGUCUUCUACGAGCAUGUGAAUCAAGACUCUUAAUGAAAGCACCAAUUUGUGGAUGCAAAUUAUGCCUUCUUCUUCUUGAACGAAAAUGCACCUGCAAAACAAUUAACACCUAAGAUCAAGGCCAAAAGUCUCACGUGCCCACGGUGAAUGGGAGGGCUUUGGCCGAAGGAUCUCCAAUGCCAAAGUUAGAAUUUGAGAAAGAAAGUGUUUAGAGAAUUUUAGAAUUGAAUUGGACUUAGGUUUUUGGAGAAAUGAGGGGCUAUAUUUAGGGGUGUGGCUGGCCCUAUUUGGAGAAAUGGGGACCAGCUACUUAUGGUGGUUUCUUGGCUCUAAUUGCAAGAUAUUAUGUCAAAUAAUAUCUUGCAAUCAAUUAGGAAAUUAAUCAAUUAAUUUUGGUAAUUAGUCCCAAUUUGAAAAUGAUAAUUAGGAGUUACCUUGUGGGUGAGAAUUUGAUGAGGAGUGAUGAGAGGGUUUAAAAGAAUACCAUUUUGAUCACCUUUGACAUCGAUUGAGCCAUUAUUGUCCGUUGCAUGCGCAUGGGAGUCCCGGUGUGCCUUAAGGGUAAUUUUAUCUUUUUCACCCAAAAGUUCACAUGUCGCUUUCAUUUAUUUUUUUUAUUAUUUUGCUCCACAUGAACAAACUCAUCAUGGAAACCAAAUACCAUACCAAAAUUUUCAAUUUCGGUUACCAAAUGGUUUGGAGUUAUCGUGUUCAAUUAUUUCGGGUUGGAUUCAAAUUUUUUAUGUAUUUUUUCUAGCCCUACACAAAACACAACCUUUGGGUUGUCUUUGGAGAACUUAAAUGAUUUUUUCUCUUUAAUAAUAUAAUAUCACGUGAAGUGAGAUUAACACAUAACAUUGCCUUGUGCAUUAGAUGGCAAAUACUGUUUAUUUAAGUUGUUGACCUAAUUUAUCACUUAAUUUUUCAGUCUAAUAGUGUUUCUCUUUAUUUGCAAAUCAGAGGACGUAAAAACACGAACACACCAGUGUACAAGGUACAUAGGAAAACCGGGUUGGGUUGUACUAUGCCCUUUAUGUUCUUCUUCUUCUUGGUGGGUCCCACCUGCUGUGAAAAAAAAAUAAACUUAGGCUGUAGAACCGAAUUCCCUCCAGACCCAAAGGAACUGAGCCUACUCAUCAAAAGAUGCGGACCAUUGAAAUUUGGUUCAUUUUUUGCUGAUUUACAAAAGGAGAAAGGUAGGCUUUUUUUAGCUGAUAAGCACAAAGGAAGGAAUUGAUAAAGUAACAUAGUGAGAGAUUUUUACUGUAGCCAUUAUUAAACUCUCGGUUUUCUAUUUUCACUUUUUUUUAUAUAUAUUUUUGUCCAUUAAUUUUGUUUUUGAGCAAUUCAAUCUUCGCUACGAAAAAAAAUAGGUAGAAGAAAAAAAUUGAGUGAGAAAAUCACUUCCUAAUUUUUUUUUUGCUACUGCAAAAGUAUCACCAUACCUGUUACUAUUACACACACUGCAAGAUGAAUAGCUGCUAAGGUUAAUAUGUUUACUUGGAAAAAAAUGAUGCACAUAUUAUAAUUUAAGGUUUUUUUUUUUAAUAAAAGUGUCCAAUUGGUGGCCAAAUCAUGGCAGUUCAUCCUUUUGGGAGCCGAAAAAACUCAUAAAGGCAUUUCAACCUUCCUAUUAGGGAUGGCAAUUCUAACCGUUAAACCCGAUAACCGCCAGAAUGGAUUGGAUUUGGGUAUGAAAAUUCGGGUAUAGUUUGGGUAUGGGGAAAAACCGUGAAUAUUAUUCGGUUAUGGUUUUGGAUAUGGUUAUAGGAGUCCCCAAUCCAUAUCCGUACCCAAAUCCGAACCGAAUAAUAUAUAAUAUAAUUAUAUGUAUAUAUAUGUAUUUCAUUAUUCAACAAAUCCAUUACCUUGAGAAUACAAAAAUUGCAUUGUGUGAGUUUUAUUUUGUGGCAAAGUUCAAAAGUUUUGAUAUGAAUCAAAAUCUAUGAGAAUUUAAUAGUAUUUAUGCGAGAUAUCAAAGAUCAACCAACAUUAUCAAUGUUUAGCUUUAAUUUUUAUGUACCACAAGAUCCAUUAAUUAAAUCAUUUUAUAGAUCGAAUAUUUAAUGACGAAAUUAAUAUUUACUAAAUUAUCAUGCGUCAAUUAGGCGAAUAUAUUUUUUGUAUUAAUGAAGAUGGAUAUAACCGUUAACCGAUGGGAAAUCCAUUAUCCGGUGGGUAUGGUUAUGGAUAUUACCCGAUGGUUAAUUUGCAAUUAUGGAUAUGGUUAAUUUUCGUGGUUAUGGAGAUGGAUAUAGCAUUUCCGUCCCCAAACCAAUCUAUUGUCAUCCCUACUUCCUAUGUCCACCCAUCAUAUGUUUCACCAGCAACAAGAAUCGAGUUUUAUAAUUUAAGUUGGAUGGAAAUAAGAUAAGGAUGUUUGGGAAUCAUUAGGUGUAGGAGGAUGGCAGUGGGUAUGCUGCCCCUUAUUUCCAUGUCUCCUUUGUGUCUCCUUGGGUAAUUUUUUGACAUGUGGCAUUCACCUUAACUCUACAUAAAAGAUGUCAACUUUUUUUAAUAGAAUUAAUAAAAAAAUUAAAGAAAUACAAAUAAACCCACAAGAACUCAAUCACCCCAUCACCCACCAAACAAAUCACCCCGACAGCCACCCGUCGCCCUAAUCGUAGAUCGUUUCGCUCCCGAUCGUCGGUCUCUUUAUUCACUAACCCAUCAUCGUCAUCUUCUUUUUCUGGGCCAAAUUAAUGAAACCCAGUUUAGGCUUCCAUAGCCCACCGGUUCUGGGUCGUUGUCUUCGUCGUCAACCUCAUCCUCCUCAACAUCCUGCUUGCUUCUGGGUUUGUUUGUGUUGAAUUGGCAAUAGAGACGAUUGUGGGUUCUAGGUUUGUUUGGGUUGAAGUAGCAGCAGAGACGAUUUGGGGGGACGUCUUAGGAUUAUGGGUUCUUCUACGUGUUGGGAGAUUGAGGAAUGUGAUUGGAUUCAUUGGGUUGAUAAGGAUGAUAAGGAAGAUGAGUUUCCACUGGGUUAAGGGAUUCUUUUGAGGGAUUGCAGGAGAUUGAGGAAGGAUUGCAGGGAGAUUGGAGAUGAUGAAUUUCAACAGUGUCCUUUCGGGUUUUUUUGAGUUUUUAAAUUUUUAAUUAAAUUUUAUGGAAAGUAACAGUGUUCCAUUUUAAUGUUAAGUGGAGGACACGUGUCACAGGAUUAAGUAAGAGACAUAUAGGAGACACAUUAUUCAGGACAGCAAACCCACGACCAUAGGAGUAUAGAGUUUUGCUUAUUUGGGGAAAAUGGUUAAUGAUUCAAACUCUAUUUCCUUCUCCUCCUUGCGUUGGCGCCUUGAUAUGGAAAGUUGUACAGAACAAAAAUAGAUACAAAUAAGGAAGGUUACAGCUAAAUGAUUGCUUAUUCUAUUUUUUGGUCUAAGGUUUUAAAUUAUAAAUUGCCACUUAGUACUACAAUUUAGUGGUAUUCCUCUUCACUUGUAAGUGAGAGGUCUUAGAUUCGUUUCUCACCAAAGGUGAAUUUGAACCAUAUUAUUGCUAGCUUAUUGUGAGGCUUAGCCAACUCUCCCACCUCCUUAGUGUAGAUGCUAUCGUUUCUUCGAAAAAAAAGUUUUAAAUUGUUGAUUAAAAAGUAGAAAAUUUGGAUAAGGUAUGGGCUAUGUGUCUAAAGAGGAGCGUGUAAAGAGAACCCUUCAACUUCAAUGCGACUCACUUCAAACACAUGGCCCAAUAGAACUUGGGAUAUACAAUAGCUCCAAGAGCAGUUCCGUCGUUGCUAAGCCCCCCCCCCCCGGCAGGCUACUCACUAUUUAAUCCACCUAGUGAACAGUAACUGCCCUUAAUGAACAGUAACUGUCUUUUGCAUCUCCACCCCUACAUUGAAUAGCCCUGGCAAUAGGUAAAAAAUAUAUUAGUAUUUUUUUAAAUAAUACAAAAUAAUUUUAUUUGUAAUUUCGGGUAGGAUUUUUAAUCAGUCUCAUUGUACCACUUUCUAUUAAAUUUUUUUUCCUUUUCACAUGGUGCAACACACCAUUCCAAAACCUUUUUUUUUUUUCUUCUUUUCACAUGGUGCCAACGCACUAUUGUGUGUUUUUUGUUCUUUCUUUUUCAAGCUUAGUAGCUCUCUCUCACUUUGAGCUCCGGAGGCAGGGCCUCAGAUUCUAACAACAUCAAUAGUCGAUGAAGGGGCGCGAAAACAAAUCCCAGUCAUCUUUUUCAAGCUCAGUCAUCUUCUCUCUCUCUCUCUCUCUCUCUCUCUCUCUUUCUCUCUCUCUCUCUCCCAAAAAAAAAUCCCAAAUCGUACGAUCUGGGCACGCGAGUGGAAAGAGGGGGAUCGCGAGUGCGUGGAGGCGAAGGCGGUGUGGGGUGCGACGGAAACUGCGGCAGUGAAGGGACUGGAACCCUUCCAUUUAUCUGUGGGUGUAUCAUAAGUCUCGGCGUCAAACUCCAACGAGAGCCGUUGAGUUCGAAGCUAGAGUUUUACAUUUUUUUUAAAUUUUUAUUAAUUUAUUAAUAUUUUUUAAUUUUUAUUAAUUUUAUAUUAUGGUUGACGUCGCCCGCCCACAUCACAUGGCCUUCGAGCUCUUGGGCUAGCAAUCCCUGCCGAGCCUAUCACUCAGGCCUGUCACUUGAGCCUGGCCCAUCCCUCGGGCUGGCAUACGUUGGACCUUAUCCCCCAACCUAUUUGGCUCUGUUCCAUCCCCAGUCCACCGGGUAAUACACCACGAUGGAACUGCUCUAAAUCGUUGCAACACAUCCAUAUCAAUGACUAUUGAAAUCACAUUAUUUCCCCAAAAUAUCAAAAUAUCUUCAACCUCCCAAGAGACAUCCCAAAAUGGCCACAUCUUCGUCACCAUCAACCGUCGAUUAUGUUGAUCCCUCGGCCAUCGCUUCGGUUGAUCCCUCCUCCGCCAUCAUCGCUAGCCCUCAUCCGCCAUCUGUUACAACCCGCCCCUAAUUUUCUUGUAAAUAAUCUAUUAAUGUGAAAUUGACCACAAUACUUCUAAGAGAGUAAAUUUAUAAAAAUAUUAUAACCUAUUACAGAAAAUAUAUUUUCAAUUAAAAUAGAAAGAAAUAUGAUUUCAAAAUGAAAAAAAAAAAUAUUAGAACCUAUUCUACCAAACCCUAGCCACACAUGCAUGCAACCCGACGAACAUGUCCCUAGAUCCACCCCGACCCCACAUGUUACGGCCCAAGUUCCACCGUCAUAGUCUCAAGAAAUUAAUUUCAACCACCUUGUCUCCGACUGUAUAAUAGAAAAACAAAAUGCAAUUGAGAGAGCCAUAUAUUACCCUUUCUCUUUAUUUAAAUUUAAAUUUACAGAAAAAAUGAAAAUCAACGAGAAAUAACACAUAUAAGAGAUAAAACUUCCAAUCUGAAAAUUAUUAAGGUUGUGACAUAGAAAAUUAGGGGGGCGUUGCAAGAAAAUUGGGAGAAGAGAGAAUGUUGGGAAGGAGGUCAAGGAGUUGGGGGGAGAAUAAUUUUUCUUUUAGCUUUUUAAUUUUAUUUCAUUUUUAACUAUUUUAAAUCAAAUAGAUAAUUUUAUAAAUAAGUAUAAUAAUCUAUGAAUUUUUUAACAAAGAUGGAAUGUCCUUAAUUGGUUAACAGAGAUAAAUACAAAGAUCAAAUUGACCAAAUUGAAAACACGGAAACCAAUUGACCCAAUGAUAAAAAACACAGUGACCACUAUGACAUUUAAGCCAAUUUUCUAAUAAAGAUUUAAUGGAACAUCCUUAUUUGGUUAACGGAGAUAAACAUGAGGACUAAAUUGCCCAAAUUGAUAACACGAAAACUAAAUUUGCCAAAUAGCUAUAACACAGGCACCAUUUUAACAUUUAAGCCAAAAAGAUUUUCCACAUGUAUCAACUUCUUAUUUUCCACCCAUAUUGUGUUCCUAAAGGGACAUCAAACUGUAUUUCUACAAUAUGGAAUUGUUUCUUACAUGUAAGAACCCGCAUUAUCUUUUCAAGGCUCCUAAUGCAAUCCCUUGGUUCCUUAUGGUGGAUUGGAAGAAUUGUUCAUGGCGACAUUUUCAAAUGUGGUUUAUAUGUACACAUAUUUAUCAAGAAGGAAAUUAGGUUGCAGAUCUUUAGCUUCAUUUAGAACAGAUAGGUAUGCUUAUCACCAAUGGUCUACGGUUCCAAAUUUUGUUGCAUCUGCUCAUGCUCGUGACAUUUCAUUUUGUCCUUGUUAUCGGUUUCUUUGAUCAUUUGGUCAUUGUGGGUUCUCACUUUUACGGGAGGAUAGGUGUCUUAUGAACUUAUAAAAAUAAAUAAAUAAAUAAAAAGAUUCUCGUUUCAGUGCACUCAAAACAUAUAGGAGGUUAUUCAUUAUAAUUUAUAAUCCAAUCCUAAAGACCAACUAGGCAAAAAUACAUUAUUUAUGAACCAUUGAUGAAGUCAAGGGAUGAAAGGCCUCAAUCUCAUUUGAGAAUGAGUGGGUUUAGUUGCCCAUGUCAGUUUCCAGUUUUCCAUUUACUACAACCAAUGACAUUGAAAAAUCCAAAAUCCGAUUUCAUAUAUAGCUUUCUCCGCCACGCUCAAACCCCCAUUCUUUCUCCUGUGGUCAAAUUUAUUUGUUCCUUCUAUUAACAAUGAAUCACUUUUCUUUUUCUUUUUUUUAAAGUAUGAUAUUUAUUGAUUAUAUGUAUCAAUAAUUCAUAUGAAGAUGAUAAGAUAUUUAGUGGGCUUUGAUAAAAUCAUGUCGGAAAUUUUAACCAUAAUAAAAUGUUAACCUUAAGAAUUUAAGCCUUUUUUGUUUAUUUCUUUAUUUUUUGGUGAACGUUUAUUUCUAUUUUUUUGUCCCUUUAAAUUCACAAACUACACCUACAAACUUUGAUUUGGACAUGGUUUAAACAGAAGAGUCUUGCUCACGUAAGACCAUUUCCAACCAAAGGGUCCAGAGGGCCAGAGGACUGAAAAACGCCCAAAAAUCGUCUCCAACCGAGGGUUAGGCCAGAGGACUCGUGGGCCCCAUGAAAUCUGAAAGGGCCAAAGGGCUGGCUAAAAAUCUCAUCAAUCCUGUCGGUUAUAUCCGAUAGGAAUUCUAAGCCAAAUUUCAAAUGCAACAGCUAGCUAACGUUAGUUACUGUUGAUUUUUUUUUUUUUUUGGGCCAAUUUUUUUUUUUUUAAUUCUUAAAAAUUCUCAUUUUUUCCCUAUGAAUACCUAAACCAUUCAUUCACCAUUCCUCACAAAUUUUUCACCAUUUCAAUUCUCAUAUUUCUUACCUCUUUCAAAAAUAUUUCCUUCAAUUCUUUCAAUAAUUUUCAAAUGGCCUCGUCUGCAAUGAAAGGUAGGGCUUGGACCCAAAAAGAAGAUGAAGUUCUUUGCAGGACUUAUAGAUGGGUGUCGGAAGAUAGUGUGAGGGGGAGUUAUUUCUCAAACAAGUGAAAGUGUUUGGACUCGUGUGUCCAAAAAAUACUUAGAUUUCUACGAAGGCACUGCUCCACUAAAUAUCCGAAACCACGAGAGUUGUUCUUCAAGAUGGAAAAAACAUCUUCACCCAAGUUUGAACAAAUGGCAUCAAGCACUGUUAGUAGCCGCAAGUAGACAUGAAUUGAUAAGAAAUAUAUGAAUAAUUAAAAACCGGAACUACUAGAGUGCACUAGAAAGCGAGAAGUGUUAGGAGUCAAUUACAAAAGUAAAUACUCCUAAUCAGAGCAUAAUAAAUCUAGGUGCAGUCCAGUAGGACAAGUACUGGUUAUACAGUACCAGGAAUGUCCUACUAUUAUUUAGAUAUGUCAGAACCGUCAAAAUCCUCAACGCUACCGACAACAAGCUUACCUAAAACCUGGAAUAGCGCAAAACAGGAAACGUGAGUGGGCAAAAACAAAUGUUUUACAAAACCAUUUCAUUUAUCAACAUAUUUAACCCCUCGCUGUAAAACAUAUAUAAUUUUUCCCAGAAUCAGGGUAUAUGCAUAUACAUAAAUAUUUAUGUAAUUAUAUCAAUUCAAAUCAUGCUUCACAUAAUCAUAUUCAUAUGUAUGUCAUGCCAAGAUAUAACAGAGUAAGCAAUUCAGUUAAGAAUAAUUUCAUAUAAAUAUAACAUGUUAGCCGAAACCCCUGUGGUAGUCUGUACGGCUGAAUUCAUAGCUCAAAAAAGUCAAUAUAGCCGGAGUCACUACAAUGAUCUAUACGACACUAUACUGCCCAAGAGUCAGAACCAAAUGAAAAGGUAUGUACGACAAUAAUGGGUGUAAUAUAAUCAUGCUCAAUACUACUCACACAUAAUAGCUGGGCGAUAAAUCGCUAGUCACCUACGAGUCGGAACCACCUAAGAUGGUCUAUGCGACAAGACUGUGCACCUAAAUUGGAUCCAAUAUGAGCAUAUAGUGCGGGAGGUGACAUAAUAAACAGGCUUGUGUCAUAUCUCUGGCUAAAAUCACAAUCACCCUAGAUGCAGUUUGAUGAGCUCAACGUUAUUCAAUCACAUAUCACAUCAUUAAUAAUUCACAUAUCCAAAACAUAACUCACCUGAGCUUACCUGAGCAUCCACAGCCCCACAAUUAUAUAUAUAAUGCAUCAUAUACCAAUUCAUAUACGAAAUAUAAUUUCAUAUGCAUGGCAUUGAAGGCAUACUUUUUAAACACAUAUUUCUGGGAAAAUAUCAAGUAUAUACAUAUAUACUGAAAACCAAAAGCCCACUCACUGGUAUGUCAAAGGGUCGUAGCCUUCGAAUCGCCCUUGAACGCACUCGUCCUCGGGAUAAGUCUCACGUAUAUGCGAAUUAACUAUAAAAACGUUAUUUAAAGCACAUAGGCAAAACUAGCUAAUAACUUCUCAAGUUCUCAUACAUAGCUCAAAUUAGGUAUAUGAAUAUACCACAGUGACCUAUACAAUCUCAGGAUUGUCCCCAAAUUUUUAAAAUAAUUUUUCAUCCACCCACGCACGGCCACGCGCCGGCGAGUGCAUGGCAAGACGCGCAACCACAUGCAGGAAACCCUAAUGGAAACAUUAACGGCAAUUAGGAAUAUUCCGCUAAAUCCUAACAGAUUCUGUUAAACUUAAAUGAUGGCGUCAGAAUAUUCCCUCAGAAUUGACAGAAUAUUCCGUCGUCUUCAACCUCAGACUCCGGCGACCGUCGCCGUCGCCGGAAAACUAGAAUUUUCAAAUCGCUAUAUCUCACUCAUUUGUCAUCAAUUUCCUACAAAAUUUGCACCAAAAUGAAGAUUACAACUUGAAGAACAUUUCUUUACCAAUUUGAAGCUCUAAAAGUCACAGAAUCUCGCUGGAGAAAUUCCACAAAAUCCGGCCAAGCUUGAAACUCACAAUCCCGACUCCAAUUUCACCAAACGAACCACUCCGAGCUUCCUUAGGACCUCCUAAAGCUUCCUAUGCCCUUAAAAUUCCCUAAAAAUAAACAUUUUACGUGAGCAUGAAAUCGGGGUUCAGAUUUCACGAGUUUUCAAGGGAGUUCUUACCUGAAAAUGGUACCAUUCAACUCGUAUGGUUCUCACGAACACAAUGGUGUGCUUCACACCCUCUAUCUUCACACUUUCUAUGGGUUUUGGGUGUAGUCUGUACAAGAGAGAAGAAAAAAGAGAGAGAGAGUGCGUCCGAGAGAGAGUGAGUACGGGAGGGUGAGAGAGAGAAAGUUUUGGGUGUGUGUGUGUGGUCCUCACACUAACACAUCACCAAACCCACAUCUACAACCAAACGAACAGUCUAAGUCCCAAAUUAUCCAAAAUUAAGCUAGGGCAACCAAAUAAACCCUAAUAUUAAAUCCCAUGAAACGUUUAAGGGUAUUCUCGACAUUUCCCAUCCAUGAGAAUAAUUUUCCGGGACAGGCUGUGACAUAUAGGAAGUAUUAUUGGCACUCCAAAAAUCUCAUUCUACACUCCUUACAAGUGUAUAUUUCUUUCCUAAUAUAGAAAGUUUGAAGUGUAGAAUAAGAUUUUUAGAGUGCUAAUAACAAUUCCUAUAUAUAUAUAUGUAUGUAUAUAUAUGUAUGUAUGUAUAUCUUUCUUCCCUACUCGUAGAUAAAAAGAUGGAAAAAUAAUGUACAUGGGAAUGUAAGGCUAUACUUCCUCUGAAAAAUGUUUGAAAGCAACGCUGGCUACUCGGAGAAGCAAUUGCUUUGAAAAUUACCAAGAACUUUUUUAUUUUCUUCAUUAAUGUAAAAUCACCUAAAAGAAACAUUAAACACAACAAAGUUGGUAUAUAUUUGAUUGUCUAGUUUUAAGUUAUUCAAGAUUUAAGUUGUUUAAUUUCAAAAACUUUGUGAUAUCGAGUACCAUUUCUAUGAUUGAUCUCUUUCUUAUGUAAAAAAAAUUAUUUUGUAGUACUAGAACACCAUCACAUAACUAACUUGUUAUUUUGUGCUCCAAGUUCCUUAAUUUGAAGAAAAACAAAUGGCUUGUAGCAAAAUUUUGGCCUACAUCAAAGCCCUUUUAUUAUAAGAAACAUACAAGAAUCCAAAAUGCAAAGCUAUUCAAUUCGAAGCUGCGCAUCAAUAUAUGUGGGUCUAUCUUUAUUAAUAAGGAAAACUAAUGAAAAUGGCUUGAAAACUUUGAGUUUUAAUGAUAAGGACAAAAUAAAGGAUAAAGUGAAUAGUAGCAUGUUUGACUUUUUAGUAUAAAAAUGUGAUUUUUUGUUAAAGUAAACAGUACCGUAGGCUUUUCGUUAAAACUCCCUUAAUAAUAUGAUACAAAUAUGAGAUUUAAACUGGGGCAAAAAUAUAUAGCAUUUUUGUUUAAACAAUGGUCAGGAGAAAGAAUCAAUGCGAAUAAGUGAGGAGCAAAUUACCAACUAUUUUCUGCUUAGGCCAGCUUUUGUUGGUUUGUUCCAAGUUAAGCAGAUAUGUUCUCGUCUCUUAAAUUCGAUGCCAAAUUUGGCAAGUUCUCUGGACACUUGGAUGGUGAAAACUUCGUGGGAAUUUGUGCUUUUACAUGCGUAUAAGCCCAUAAGGUAGUACAACCUUUUAAGUUUUAAGAGUAAUGUUAUUCAUACCAUGUUUUUGUACCAUAUUUUCAUACCACUUUAGAUGGCAUUUGAUGUGAAUAGACACAUCAUUUGAAUUAAUCAGAUUUUUAAAUUUAGUUCAUUAUUUAAUAAACUAAUAAUUAAGAAAAACUAAUUAAUUAAAUCAUGAUUGUGGUAUACAAGGAGUCUUUCUCCUUUCUUUCUUUAGGUUUUGUAAAUUUUUCAAAUGAUGUGGCUGUCCACAUCAGAUGCCACCUAAGAUGAUAUGAAAAUAUAGUACAAAAAUAUGGUAUAAAUAGCAUUACUCAAGUUUUAAUAUUCCUGUAAUUUUUAUACUAUAUCUAAUUAGUAAUCACAAUGAACAUUAAGGCUGAUAAAAAUAAAAAAUAAAGCACAAUCAACUAGUAAGUUUUUGGUGCUCCUAAAGCGGUUUCAAUUUGCUGCAUAUAAUCUCUGUCAAUAAAAUACAGAUGAUUCAAUUUCCCAAACCCAUGCCGAAUGGGGAUGGAGUGGGGAGGAUGGGGGGAUGGGGUUAUUUUGGGAGUGAGGACUGCAGGAGGGUAUAUCCGACCUCGCCUUGCCAGUUAUUAUCUCCAAUAAACUGAACAUUUGCGACUAAUUAAGUACUUAUGCAUGAAGCACUUGAAAAUAUUUCCUGAAGAAGCAUGCAUGUGUGCUUCCACGAUAUUUGAUCAUGUUAAAAAAGUUUUAACUCUUUCAAAAAUAGUUUAACAAAACCGAGUCUUUGGAGAUAUUCUUGAUCACUUUAUGAGAGAUUUAGAAUGAGAGAUAUUGUCGAUUACACUCAAGUUUCUCCCAUAUGUCUUUUAUAAGGGCCAAAGUGCAUGCUUAUCUCCAUUAAUUAUACUACAAACUAAGAGCUUUAGGGAUAACAAUUAAUCUAUAAUCUUUUCCCAAUUCAUGAGUUAAGAACUUGAGAGUGAGAGAGAGAUACAUAUCUCAAUUCAUAUCUCAAUAUGCGUGCACGAAGUGAUUUGGUCAUCUUGUAAACAAGAGAACUGAAGUUGACACGAGAGGAGGAUAGCAGACCAAGCCCUCCAUUAUCAAGAUUCCUUCGGACGUUUCUCGGGAGACAUGUGCUUCCCACAUGCCUCGAGGCCCCCAACUACACCUUACUAUCUACUGUAGGCCCCACCUCCCAGCAACUAUCACCCUUGCUCCUUCCCUCUCCGUGCAUCUAUAAAUUCAGGACGAUGGUGCAGAUUGGAGAUACAGCAAGCAAAAUACCCUUCGAGCUAAACCCUAAAACACACUUCAGUUCCAAGUUCUAAGUUCAUCUGCAACAUGUCGGGGAAGUGCGACAACUGCGACUGCGCUGACAGCACCCAGUGCGUGUAAGUAAUGCUUCUUUAUCAGUUUAGUUAUGGAUCUGUAAAUCUUGCAUGGCUAAAUACUGGUUUGGUACUGAGCUCAAAAAGGUGUUUGGUAAAUAAUUAAAAACAACUUAUUUUCACGGUUUUGGGUGAAAAAAAAAACUAAAAACGUGAAGCAGCAAAAAUAAGUUUAUUCUCACAACACAGCCGAAACAGUUUUUAUUACAAUGAUAGUGUAUUUGUGUUAUGAAAGUCUUUCUUCUGUAUAUAGACUACAGAUGGGAAGGCCUUGGAUAUCCUCGUAGGUAUGACACCAUGGAUGUAUCGCUGAAGACUAAACCCUAGCUAUAGUGCUAAUCAAAUCAAGAUACGUGAUAAGUGCUAUAGGAAUAUGGUGAUCUAUCCUCGGUGACACCUAAAUCUUUCUCGAAUAGAAAGGGUUUGAUAAUUGUUUUCGACUAGGGUUACCAACUAGUAGUUUACUCGCUUAAUAACAAGAUUAUAUAGGGUAUUUAAUUGCUUAAUGCGAAUUAAAUAACUGAUGGAGGGCUUAACUGAAAUGAUUUAGCUCUAGUAUGUGGUAUUUCUCUUCUUGACGUUGAAGAUCUGCUGUUUCGGAUUCAUUUUUUUCGAUCUAAUUGGUGCAUACAUGCCUUCAAAGCUUUAAAAUGCCAAUUUUUUAAAUCGCAGGAAGAAGGGAAACAGCUACGACUUGGUGAUCGUUGAGACUGAGAACCGGUACUUUUGUCAUAAACUUCAAUAAAUUUUAAGAAUUAACUUUUCUUCUCUUUGUUUCCUUAAGACUAAUUGUGGAGAGUUUUGAUUAAUUUUGCAGCUCCAUGGACACCGUCUUCGUGGAUGCUCCUGCCGCCGAGCACGACGGAAAGUGCAAGUGUGGCACAGGCUGCUCAUGUGUGAGCUGCACCUGUGGUCACUAAACCCAUACAACCAAAUUAAAGAUGUAAACGAAUAAAGUGUUUGUGGGAAAACAACGUUGUGGCUUUGUCUUUGGUUUGUUUAUAGUAUUUGUGUCUGUUGAGUGACAUGUAGUGUCUGUGAAAACCUGUCACUAUGUUUCUGUGAUUGUGUCAUAUAAUCGCCAUGUUCGUGGUCUUGUGAUGUUAUGAAAUGAUAUUAUUAGAAUACAUGCUUUGGCUCUCUUAAUUCCAUUUUAUUUUCUCCCUAACCAUAAUUUUGCUUCACAUCAUAGCUGCAAUUAAUCAAGGAAUUGCAGAUAGGAAAGUAAUAGAUGUAUUCUUGCAUACAAUAUUGUGGAUAACAAUGGACUUAUAGCUCAAGUAGCUUAAUUUACCCUUUGAUCUGAGGUUUGAUGUUCGAUUAUCCCUCCGUUAUCACCGUUACAUAAAAAUGAAAUAAAAUAUGACGGAUAUGUCCAAUAUGUUCUUAUUUGAAACCCUUUUGGAUCUUGGGAUUGGUAUUAAAUGGGAGACGAUUAGAAUGCUCAAUCAUUUUAUUUAGCAUUUGAAGAUGUUUUGAUUCCUUUUGCUCUUCCUUUGAGCCACCAAAACGAAUGGCACAAAACGCAGAAAUAGAAAUCCCAUUUCACUGUAUGGGUGGUGUGACUAGGCAAAGGGAUUUACAUGAAAUGAAACGCAUAGCCGCAUGACAUCGCUUGAUUCGUUUAAGACAACAACAACUAGGCGUGUAUGUUUAUUUAUGUUAGUCCUCGUGAAUAAGAGGUUAGCAAGGCAUUAGUUCAUCAAGGAAUUUACGAAUAUUUGAAUGAUAAACUAAUUCGAGCGAGCCUUACAAUUAGCCAAGACAAUAGCAUAUAUUAAGCUCACAUGUUGUAAGGGUGUAAGUCUCAGUAAAAUUUAAGUAAAUACAAGUCAAAUAUGGUUGCAGACAGAACUACAGAAGCUCUUCUUUCUUGUAUUAUUCACCAACGUUCAAAUAUUACCAUGUUGUAUGUCUAAACCUAAAGUAAAUGGUUUCCUUUCAAAACUGUUGAGCGUAGCCUUCAAUUUAUUAUCUUAACCAUCCGGAAAUUUCAAACAUUGAAGCCCUCUGCACGAAGGCACUUGAGAUGAGCAUCGAUCCAUUUUGUGCAAGCAUCUUGACCAUGUUCUACAAUGCAUUCAUCUCGCAGCUUCUUAGUAUCCGGGCAAGCACAGCAGAUCUUCUUCUUCGGCUUUGUGUCCAGGGCAGGAGUAGUGACUGCUGAUCCUUGAUUAGGCUGUGACCUUUGCAAAACCAAGGCAGAGGAAGUAUUUUCUGCCGGCAGUCCACCCAUUUCUCAAAGUUCUUCAAGACCUAACAGAAAUAUGCUACUAAAAAACAAGAAAGAAAACAAAGAACAUCAGCUUCACUCAGAGCAGCCUCAAUGAUCAACAUGUAUUCAUUAAGGAUGGUAUGCACCAUAUCAUACCUAAACAGAUUGAAUGGAAGAGAGAGAUAUGGCGUCGUAACUUAUAGAAAACACCCCGUAAAAUACGUUAAUCACGGAUUACCCUAAUCACUAGACACUAGCUCAUGUAAAAGUGAGGAAAUCAACCGAAAAGCAAAAACCCUAAACCCUACUUCUCCAAACGAGCACAAAUCCACAGGAUCCCAAAACAAAAAACCCAGAUGAAGAAAUAAACUUUUUCACCAAGGUUCCGGAUUUCAAUCAAGAUUCAAGACACGUCCUUUAUCCAACACCCACUCGGGCAUUUCUUCAAACAUACGGUGGGCACUUUGUUACUACAAGCAAACUCCCGCAUAAAUACUACAUAUUCACCAAAAGCGGCAGAAACUAUAAAUAUUAAAUACAAAGGCAAAGCAGAAAACCCAGAUGAAAAGUAAAGCAACCCAUCUAAUCAAACAACAACACAGCCAUAACCACAGAGAUUUUGGAACUUUACAUACAUUUAUUGGAUGGACAAGUAAAUAUGUCUCAGAAGAGUAACGAAAUUGGUAACAGAAAUGUAUGAGACAAGGAAGGAAUUACUUACCGCGGAAAAGGAAGGAGGAGGAGAAGCUGAAAGGAAGAAGCUUUGCGUUUUCUUGAAGGCAGAAAGUGGGAGCAGAGAAAAGGUGUUUGUUCUCUGUAGACGAAAUUGGCCGCUCAAAAUUUCAAGGCUAAAACUGGGGCGCGUAUGAGUCGAAGGGUCAACCCUUGUCUUGGGCUCUGCAGGCCUACAAAAAAUAUGCUGAAAACUUUCGGGCUUGUUUGGUAUUUUAUUUGAAAUUUUUUAUAAUUUCUCAAAUUUUUGCUGAAAAUAAUUUUCUUUAAAACUCAAAAACUUGUUUGGUAUGCGAGUUAAAAUUUUUAAAUCUUACAACUUAAACAGGACAAAGAGAUCAAAAAGAGGGGGUUGAGAGAGAAAGAGGAAAGAGGAGGAAAGAAAGUAAGAGAUGAUUGGAGGAAAGAAAAAGAAGUGAGAGGAUCGGUGGAGAUAGAGAGAAAGAAUCAGGAGAAUGGAGAGAGUAGAUUAGAGGAGAGACGAAAAAUGUAAAAAUAAAAAUAAUAAUAAUAAGAGAAAGUGGAGAGAGAAAGAAGAAAAUGGAAAGAUAGAUUUGGAGUGAGGGGGUAGAAGGGAGAGAAAAGAAAUGAUUGAGUUUAAAUUUAAAAAUUCUAAAAACUCACUUUUUUAGAUAAUAGACUACAUUUUUUUAGUUAGUCUUGAGUUAAGUUUUUAAAAAUAGUUCUACCAAACAAGUUUUUAAGGCCUAAAACAUAAAAAUUGUUUUUUAGUUUAAAAAGUUGCAUUCAAGUAAAGUACCAAACAUGCUCUUCAUUUUUUUUAAUUUUAAAUAUUUUUUUAUAGCUUUUAUCAAAUUGACUCUUUUUUUUUUUUUUUAUCUUAUCAGACAAAUUAAUCUAACGUCAAUAUAAAAUUGUAGCACAAACUGCCAAAACAAUGUUAAAAAUGGCCUUCUAAUUGUAUGUUGUACUCUAUUUACAAAUUCUAAAAAAUGUAGAUGUGAAUUACAUUAAUUUGUCACACGUUGUCGUAAAACCAAAUGAAAGACAUAAAUCGUAAAACCAAGUUAAGGACAUAAGUAAAUGCAUUUCCCAUCAUUCUAAAAAAUCUAAUAGCAAAUAGAAGCAGACCGGAUAAGGAAUCCGCAGUUCGGAUCAAAAGCCAGUCGUGAGGCAUUGAUCCUUGGAGCUUGCUUGCUAUAUCAUGGCCAUGGAUGAACACAGAGAAUUCAUUCAUAAGAGCAAAACAUCAUCAAGUCUCCACAAAUCAAAGCAACAACAGAGUGGAGCAUACAUAUUAGGAAAAACCCAGAUAACCCCAUAGCUUAAAACCCCAAGUAAAACCCUAGUCUUUCUUCUCUACACACAUAAACUUCAAGACGUGAGCGUAGUCACAUUAGCAAGAUAAGAUGUGCUCUCUUAUGUACCGAGUUUAAAUCCUCUUGUUCGCAGUUUAGAAUAUCGCUUGUAUCAUAGAACAAAACAAAAUUCCAUUAUAUUCAACCACAAUUUGCUCAAUAAAAUACUCUGAAAAGAUCACAUAUAUAUCAAAAACCCUAAACCCUAAAGUCUCACUUUACAAAUCCCAGAAACCAGAGCAAACUAAUCAGAAGCCAACCUUACUUAUUGUCAGUGGAGGAAUGGAUCUCGAUUGAGAUAUUUCAGCAACUACAACAUGCUGAAUAGCUGAUUGUCAGUGGAGGGAUUUUUCUAUUUGUGGUGAAUUUCAACUACAAACAUGACCUUUUAAAAAUUAUAAUAAUUGUAACUGUUGGAUCAAAUUUCAAUGGUCUGGAUCAUUUGAUUCUUAGGCUCAGUUCCUUUGGGUCCGGAAGGGAUCCGGUUCCCUUAGGCUGCACAUUUCUUCUAACUGCCAAUGGGAAUUUGACAUUUGAGUGAGGGUGGGUCAUGGUGUUGACGUGGCGGCUUUUAAGGGAAAGAACUGUGAGGCUCAAGUGUAGGAUGAGUGUAGAGGAUCCCAACCACUUUUGGGAUUGAAGCUGAAAAAGAGCUUUUUUAAAUAAAAAGAAAAUAUUACCUACUGAUUAGCAAAAAGAAAAGGGUAGGCAUUUUUUGCUGAUUUACAAAAUGAAAAAGGUAUGCUUUUUCUGCUGAUAAGCACAAAGGUAGGAAUUGAUAAAGUAACAAAGUGAGAAAUUAUUACUGUAGCGAUUCUUAAACUCUCGGUUUUCUAUUUUCACUUUUUUUUUUAAUAUUUUUGUCCAUUAAUUUUGUUUCGAGUAAUUGAAUCUUCGCUACGAAAAACAUAUGUAGAAGAAAAAAAUUAAGUGAGAAAAUCACUUCCUAAUUUUUUUUUUGGCUACUGCAAAAAGUAUCACCAUACCUGUUACUAUUACACACACUACAAGAUGAAUAGCUGCUAAGGUUAAUAUGUUUUCUUGGAAAAAAAAAAUGAUGCACAUAUUAUAAUUUAAGGUAUUUCAACCUUCCAUGUCCACCCAUCAUAUGUUUCACCAACAACAAGAAUCGAGUUUUAUAAUUUAAGUUUGAUGGAAAUGAGAUAAGGAUGUUUGGGAAUCAAAAGGAGUAGGAGGAUAGAGUUUUGCUUAUUUGGGGAAAAUGGUUAAUGAUUCAAACUCUAGUUCCUUCUCCUCCUUGCGUUGGCGCCUUGAUAUGGAGAGUUGUUCAGAACAAAAAUAGAUACAAAUAAGGAAGGUUGAUAGCUUAUUCUAUUUUUUGGUCUAAGGUUUUAAAUUAUAGAUUGUCACUUAGUACUACGGUCUAAUGGUAUUCAUAUUCACUUGUAAGUGAAAUGUCUUAGGUUCGUUUCUCGUCAAAUGCGAAUUUGAACCAUAUUAUUGCUAACUCAUUGUGAAGUUUAGCCCACUCUCCCAUCUCCUUAGUGUAGAUGCUAUCAUUUCUUUGAAGAAAAAGAAAAUGUUUUAAAUUGUAGAUUAAAAAGUAGAAAAUUCGGAUAAGGUAUGGGCUAGGUGUCUGAAGAGGAGUUUUGGGUGUAAAGAGAGGAGGCAGAUUCUCUCCUCUCUCACUUUCUGUGCCCUCCUGUUUUGUGUGGUCAUGGUUAAGCCACGUCAACAUUUUAUAUUAUUUUUUUUAUAGAGAUAAUAAGAUAAAAAUGAAUAGUAAUAUAAAAUGUUGACGUGGCUUAACUGUGACCACACAAACAGAAGGGUACGGGAAAUGGGAGGGCAGAGAAUCUGCCUCUGUAAAGAGAACCCUUCAACUUCAAUGCGACUCACUUCAAGCGCAUGGCCCAAUGGAAGGAUAUACUAUAGCUCUAAAUCGUUGCAACACAUCCAUAUCAAUGACUAUCGAAAUCACAUUAUUUCCCCAAAAUAUCAAAAUAUUUUCAACCUCGCAAGAGACAUGCCAAAAUGGCCACAUCUUCGUCACCAUCAACCGUCGAUUAUGUUGAUCCCUCGGUCGUCGCUUCGGUUGAUCCCUCCUCCGCCAUCAUCGCAAGCCCUCAUCCACCAUCUGUUACAAUCAGCCCCUAAUUUUCUUGUAAAUAAUCUAUUAAUGUGAAUUGGCCACAAUACUUCAAGAAGAGUAAAUUUAUAAAAAUAUUAUAACCUAUUACAGAAAAAAUAUUUUCAAGUAAAAUAGAAAGAAAUAUGAUUUCAAAAUUAAAAAAAUAUGUAUUAGAACCUAUUCUACCCAACCCUAGCCACACAUGCAUGCAACCCGACGAAUAUGUCCCUAGAUCCACCCCAACCUCACAUGUUACAGCGUAAGUUCCACCAUCAUAGUCUCAAGAAAUUAAUUCCGACAGCCUUGUCUCCAACUAUAUAAUAGAGAAACAAACUGCAAUUGAGAGAGCCAUAUAUUACCCUUUCUCUUUAUUUAAAUUUAAAUUUACAGAAGAGAAAAAUGAAAAUCAAUGAGAAAUGACACAUAUAAGAGAUAAAACUUCCAAUCUGAAAAUUAUUAAGGUUGUGACAUAGAAAAUUAGGGGGGGGGGGCGUUGCAAGAAAAUUGGGAGAAGAGAGAAUGUUGGGGAGGAGGGUCGGGGAGUUGGGAGGAGAAUAAUUUUUCUCUUAACUUUUUUAUUUUAUUUCAUUUUUAAUUAUUUUAAAUCAAAUAGAUAAUUUUAUAAAUAAGUAUAAUAAUCUAUGAAUUUUUUAACAGAGAUGGAAUGUCCUUAAUUGGCUAACAGAGAUAAAUACAAAGACCGAAUUGGCCAAAUUUAAAACACGGAGACCAAUUGAGCCAAUGAUUAAAACACAAUGACCAUUGUGAAUUUUAAGCCAAUUUUCUAAUAAAGAUUUAAUGGAACAUCUUUAUUUGGUUAACGGAGAUAAACAUGAGGACUAAAUUGCCCAAAUUGAAAACACGAAAACUAAAUUUGCCAAAUAGCUAUAACACAGGGACCAUUUUAACAUUUAAGCCAAAAAGAUUUUCCACACGUAUCAACUUAUUAUUUUCCACCCAUAUUGUGUUCCUAAAGGGACAUCAAACUGUAUUUCUACAAUAUGGAAUUGUUUCUUACAUGUAAGAACCCGCAUUAUCUUUUCAAGGCUCCUAAUGCAAUCCCUUGGUUCCUUAUGGUGGAUUGGAAGAAUUGUUUAUGACAACCUUGUCAAAUGUGGUUUAUAUGUACACAUAUUUAUCAAGAAGGAAAUUAGGUUGCGAUCUUUAGCUUCAUUUAGAACAGAUAGGUAUGCUUAUCACUAGUGGUCUACGGUUCCAAAUUUUGUUGCCUCUGCUCAUGCUCGUGACAUUUCAUUUUGUCCUUGUUGUCGGUUUCUUUGAUCAUUUGGUCAUUGUGGGUUCUCACUUUUACGGGAGGAUAGGUGUCUUAUGAACUUAUAAAAAUAAAUAAUAAAUAAAAAGAUUCUCGUUUCAGUGCACUCAAAACAUAUAGGAGGUUAUUCAUUAUAAUUUAUAAUCCAAUCCUAAAGACCAACCAGGCAAAAAUACAUUAUUUAUGAACCAUUGAUGAAGUCAGGGGAUGAAUGGACUCAAUCUCAUUUGAGAAUGAGUGGGUUUAGUUGCUCAUGUCAGUUUCCAGUUUUCCAUUUACUACAACCAAUGACAUUGAAAAAUCCAAAAUCCGAUUUCAUAUAUAGCUUGCUCCGCUACGCUCAAACCCCCACUCUUUCUCCUGUGGUCAAAUUUAUUUGUUCCUUCUAUUAACAAUGAAUCACUUUUAUUUUUCUUUUUUUUAAAGUACGAUAUUUAUUGAUUAUAUGUAUCAAUAAUUCGUAUGAAGAUGAUAAGAUAUUUAGUGGGCUUUGAUAAAAAUCAUGUCGGAAAUUUUAACCAUAAUAAAAUGUUAACCUUAAGAAUUUUAAGCCUUUUUUGUUUAUUUCUUUAAUUUUUUUGGUGAACGUUUAUUUCUAUUUUGGUCCCUUUAAAUUCACUAACUACACCUACAAACUUUGAUUUGGACAUGGUUUAACAGAAGAGUCUUGCUCACCUAAGAUCAUCUCCAACCGAAGAGUCCAGAGGGCCAGAGGGCCAAAAAAGGCCCAAAAAUCAUCUCCAACCGAGGGUUUGGCCAGAGGGCUCGUGGGCCCCACAAAAUCUGAAAGGGCCAAAGGGCUGGCUAGAAAUCUCAUCAAUCCUAUCGGUUAUAUCCGAUAGGAAUUCUAAGCCAAAUUUCAAAUGCAACGGCUAGCUGACGUUAGUUACUGUUGAUUUUUUUUUUUGGGCCAAAUAUAUUUUUUUUAAUUCUUAAAUUCUCAUUUUUUUCCUAUGAAUACCUAAACCAUUCAUUCACCAUUCCACACAAAUUUUUCACCAUUUCAAUUCUCAUAUUUUCUUACCUCUUUCAAAAAUAGUUCCUUCAAUUCUUUCAAUAAUUUUCAAAUGGCCUCGUCUGCAAUGAAAGGUAGGGCUUGGACCCGAAAAGAAGAUGAAGCUCUUUGCAAGGCUUAUAGAUGUGUGUCGGAAGAUAGUGUGAGGGAGAGUUCUCAAACAAGUGAAAGUGUUUGGACUCGUGUGUCCAAAAAAUACUUAGAUUUCUACGAAGGCACCGUUCCACUAAAUAUCCGAAACCAUGAGAGUUGUUCUUCAAGAUGAAAAAAACAUCUUCACCCAAGUUUGAACAGAUGGCAUCAAGCACUGUUAGCAGCCGCAAGUAAACAUAUAAGCGGCGCUAACUACUACGACGAAGUAAGUGUUUUCACAAUUUAUUUUAAAUAUUUAAUUAUAUUACAUUUAAUUUCAUGAAUUACUUUCCCUUAGUUUUUGUAAAUAUAUUUAAUUAUAUUACAUUUAAUUUCAUAAAUUAAUUUCCUUUAAUUUUUGUAAUUAUAUUUUCUAGGUACGGCAAGCGGAGGAAUUGCAUAUGGAGGGCAGCUUGAAACCCUUUCAGUUUCACAGUUGUUGGGAAAUUUGUAAAGAUUGGGUGUUAUUUGAAGAUCCACCUCAACAUAGAGUAGCUCCUACACCAAUGUUCGGAACUACAUCCUCAGCUGCAGAUAUGGAUGAAGAUGGAUCUCCUGCCAUUAGGGUAGAAAAUUCGUCUUCGGGUGAAGGUUCCAUACCUAGGGCUAUGGGACGAAACAAAGCUCGAAGGUUGAAGGAAAAGGGUAAGGCAAAUGAUGAUUACGCCGCUCAAUAGGAAGUGGCAGCCUCAUUGCGAUUAAUGGCGGAGCAAAAUGCCAUUGCCGCGGAAGAAAGGAACCGUAGGCAUGAAGAACAGGCCAAACAAAUAUAAGAAGAGAUGGAUGAUAAGAAUAUGGAAAUGAACACUUCGAAUUACACUCCAAUGAGUAAGGCCUAUUUUGAUAAAAAAAUAUAUAUAUAUAUUAUGACCCGGCGACAGUUGUUUACCUCUGACUAUACUCCUACAAUGGCAGAUGAUGAAGAUGAUGUUGAUUAUGGAUAUUAAAUUUAAGUUCUUGUAGUUUUAAAUUUAAGUUAAUGUUGUUUUUAAAUUUAAUUUUUAGUUUUUAAAUAUAAGUUGUUGUUGUUUUUAAAUUUAAAUAAUAAUUUAUGUUUAGCCUUCAGUUGGAGACGAUUUUUUGUGACAGGGCUAAAAAGAGUCCUAUGACGCUUUGACCCUCGGUUGGAGAUGGAGGCAAAUAUGACCAUGUACUGUUCAUUAAAAUAUUAAUAUCUUAGAAGGCCAAAGGGCUAAAACGAACCCUCUGGCCCUUGUUCGGUUUGAGAUGGUCUAAAGUCCUCAUUUUUAAGGCUUAGGCGGAACCAAAUGCAUAUUAGCUACAAGAUUAUACUAGUUUACAUCCAAAGACUUAAAUUAUUUGAUAAUUUAAUAAAGCAAAACCAACUUAAAAUAUUAGUUUAUUAAGUUGUCAAAUAUUUUAAGCAUUUGGACAUAAACUAAUAUGAUUUUGUGGCCAAUAUGCAUUUGAUCCUCAUAGAUUUUCAAAAUGAUGACCUUAGAAGAGCAAGACUGUUAAACAGAAAGUAGAGUAUGAGGAGGACAGGUGCAAUGAUAUAUAUAUAUAUAUAUAUAUAGUGACACACCCCGAUCGAGAUCAAGGCAUGAUGGCCAUCACAUGAGGGUGACGUAGCCAUGUGCACAAUGCGGAAGCAAUUAAGAUAAGAAAUAUACAAAUAAUUAAAAACUAAAACUACUAGAGUGCACUAGAAAGCGAGAAGUGUUAGGAGUCAAUUACGAAAGUAAAUACUCAUAAUCAGAGCAUAAUAAGUCUAGGUGCAGUCCAGUAGGACAAGUACUAGUUAUACAGUAUCAAGAAUGUCCUACUAUUGUUUAAAUAUGUCAGAACCGUCGAAAUCCUUAAGGCCACCGAUAGCAAGCUUACUUAAAACCUGGAGGAGCGCAAAACAGGAAACGUGAGUGGGCAAAAACAAAUGUUUUACAAAACCAUUUCAUUUAUCAACAUAUAUAAUCCCUCGCUGUAAAACAUGUAUAAUUUUUCCCAGAAUCAAGAUAUAUGCAUAUACAUAAAUAUUUAUGUAAUUAUAUCAAUUCAAAUCAUGCUUCACAUAAUCAUAUUCAUAUGUAUGCCAUGCCAAGAUAUAACAAAGUAAGCAAUUCAGGUAAGAAUAAUUUCAUAUAAAUAUAACAUGUUAGCCGGAACCCCUGUGGUAGUCUGUACGGCUGAAUUCAUAGCUCAAAAGUCAAUCUAGCCAAAGUCACUAUAAUGACCUAUACGGCACUAUAUUGCACAAGUGUCGGAACCAAAUGAAAAGGUCUGUACGACAAUAAUGGGUGUAAUAUAAUCAUGCUCAAUACUACUCACACAUAAUAUUGCACAAGUGUCGGAACCAAAUGAAAAGGUCUGUACGACAAUAAUGGGUGUAAUAUAAUCAUGCUCAAUACUACUCACACAUAAUAGUUGGACGAUAAAUCGCUAGUCACCUACGAGUCGGAACCACCUAAGAUGGUCUAUGCGACAGGACUGUGCACCUAAAUUGGAUCCAAUAUGAGCAUAUAGUGCGGGAGGUGACAUAAUAAACAGGCAUGUGCCAUAUCUCUGGCUAAAAUCACAAUCAUCCUAGGUGCAGUUUGAUGAGCUCAACGUUAUUCAAUCACAUAUCACAUCAUUGAUAAUUCACAUAACCAAACAUAACUCACCUGAGCUUACCUGAGCGUCCACAACACCACAAUUAUAUAUAUAAUGGAUCAUAUACCAAUUCAUAUAUGAAAUAUAAUUUCAUAUGCAUGGCAUGUAAGGCAUACUUUCAUUUAAACACAUAUUUCUUGGAAAAUAUCAAGUAUAUACAUAUAUACUGAAAACCAAAAGCCCACUCACGGAUAUGUUGAAGGGUUGUAGCCCCCAAGUCACCCUUGAACCCGCUCGUCCUCGGGAUAAGUCUCACCUAUAUGCGAAUUAACUAUAAAAACGUUAUUUAAAGCACAUAGGCAAAACUAGCUAAUAACUUCUCAUACAUAGCUCAAAUUGGGUAUAUGAAUAUACCAUAGUGACCUAUACAAUCUCAGGAUCGUCCCCAAAUUUUUAAAAUAAUUUUUCAUCCACCCACGGGCGACCACGCGCCGGCGAGUGCACAACAAGAUGCGCGGCCACGCGCAGGAAACCCUAACGGAAACAGUAACGACAGUUAGGGAAUAUUCCGCUAAAUCCUAACAGAUUCCGUUAAACUUAACUGAUGACGUCAGAAUAUUCCGUCAGAAUUGACGGAAUAUUCCGUCGUCUUCAACCUCAGACUCCGGCGACAGUCGUUGUCGCCGGAAAACUGGGAAUUUUUCAAAUCGCUAUAUCUCACUCAUUUUUCAUCCAUUUCCUACGAAAUUUGCACCAAAAUGAAGCUUACAACUUGAAGAACAUUUCCUUACCAAUUUGAAGCUCCAAAAGUCACGGAAUCUCGCCGGAGAAAUUCCACAAAAUCCGGCCAAGCUUGAAACUCCCGAUCCAGACGUCCAAUUUCACCCAAUGAACCAUUCCGAGCCUCCUUAGGACCUCCUAAAGCUUCAUAUGUCCUUAAAAUUCCCUAAAAAUCAACAUUUUACGUGAGCAUGAAUAGUACCUCAAAUCGGGGUUCGGAUUUCGCGAGUUUUUAAUGGAGUUCUUACCUGAAAAUGGUACCAUUCAACUCGUAUGGUUCUCACGAACACAAUGGUGUGCUUCAUACCCUCGAUCUUCACACUUUCGAUGGGUUUUGGGUGUAGUCCGUACAAGAGAGAAGAAGAGAGAGAGAGAGAGAGAGAGUGUGUCCGAGAGAGUACGGAAGGGUGAGAGAGAGAGGAAGUUUUGGGUGUGUGUGUGUGGUCCUCACACUGACACAUCACCAAACCCACAUCUACAACCAAACAAAAAGUCUAAGUCCCAAAUUAUCCAAAAUUAAGCUAGGGCAACCAAAUAAACCCUAAUAUUAAAUCCCAUGAAACAUUUAAGGGUAUUCUCGACAUUUCCCAUCCAUGAGAAUAAUUUUCCGGGACGGGCUGUGACAUAUAUGAAGUAUUAUUGGUACUUCAAAAAUCUCAUUCUACACUCCUCAUAAGUGUAUAUUUUUUUCCUAAUAUAGAAAGUUUGAAGUAUAAAAUGAAAUUUUUAGAAUGCUAAUAACAAUUCACAUAUAUAUAUAUAUAUAUAUAUAUAUAUAUAUAUAUAUAUAUAUAUAUAUAUAUCUUUCUUCCCUACUCGUAGAUAAAAAGAUGGAAAAAUAAUGUACAUGGGAAUGUAAGGCUAUACUUCCUCUGAAAAAUGUUUGAAAGCAACGCUGGCUACUCGGAGAAGCAAUUGCUUUGAAAGUCACCAAGAACUUUUUUAUUUUCUUCAUUAAUGUAAAAUCACCUUAAAAGAACUAUUAAACACAACAAAGUUGGUAUAUAUUUGAUUGUCUAAUUUUAAGUUAUUCAAGAUUUAAGUUGUUUAAUUUCAAAAACUUUGUGAUAUCGAGUACCAUUUCUAUGAUUGAUCUCUUUCUUAUGUAAAAAAAAUUAUUUUGUGGUACUAGAACACCAUCACAUAACUAACUUGUUAUUUUGUGCUCCAAGUUCCUUAAUUUGAAGAAAAACAAAUGGCUUGUAGCAAAAUUUUGGCCUACAUAAAAGCCCUUAGAUUAUAAGAAACUUACAAGAAUCCAAAAUGCAAAGCUAUUCAAUUCGAAGUUGCACAUCAAUAUAUGUGGGUCUAUCUUUAUUAAUAAGAAAAACUAAUGAAAAUGGCUUGAAAACUUUGAGUUUUAAUGAUAAGCACAAAAUAAAAGGUAAAGUGAAUAGUAGCAGGUUUGACUUUUUAGUGUACAAAUGUGGUUUUUCGAUAAACCAAUGGAGUUCUUACCUGAAAAUGGUACCAUUCAACUCGUAUGGUUCUCACAAACACAAUGGUGUGCUUCAUACCCUCGAUCUUCACACUUUCGAUGGGUUUUGGGUGUAGUCCGUACAAGAGAGAAGAAGAGAGAGAGAGAGAGAGUGUGUCUGAGAGAGUACGGAAGGGUGAGAGAGAGAGGAAGUUUUGGGUGUGUGUGUGUGGUCCUCACACUGACACAUCACCAAACCCACAUCUACAACCAAACAAAAAGUCUAAGUCCCAAAUUAUCCAAAAUUAAGCUAGGGCAACCAAAUAAACCCUAAUAUUAAAUCCCAUGAAACAUUUAAGGGUAUUCUCGACAUUUCCCAUCCAUGAGAAUAAUUUUCCGGGACGGGCUGUGACAUAUAUGAAGUAUUAUUGGUACUUCAAAAAUCUCAUUCUACACUCCUCAUAAGUGUAUAUUUUUUUCCUAAUAUAGAAAGUUUGAAGUAUAAAAUGAAAUUUUUUAGAAUGCUAAUAACAAUUCACAUAUAUAUAUAUAUAUAUGUAUAUCUUUCUUCCCUACUCGUAGAUAAAAAGAUGGAAAAAUAAUGUACAUGGGAAUGUAAGGCUAUACUUCCUCUGAAAAAUGUUUGAAAGCAACGCUGGCUACUCGGAGAAGCAAUUGCUUUGAAAGUCACCAAGAACUUUUUUAUUUUCUUCAUUAAUGUAAAAUCACCUUAAAAGAACUAUUAAACACAACAAAGUUGGUAUAUAUUUGAUUGUCUAAUUUUAAGUUAUUCAAGAUUUAAGUUGUUUAAUUUCAAAAACUUUGCGAUAUCGAGUACCAUUUCUAUGAUUGAUCUCUUUCUUAUGUAAAAAAAAUUAUUUUGUGGUACUAGAACACCAUCACAUAACUAACUUGUUAUUUUGUGCUCCAAGUUCCUUAAUUUGAAGAAAAACAAAUGGCUUGUAGCAAAAUUUUGGCCUACAUAAAAGCCCUUAGAUUAUAAGAAACUUACAAGAAUCCAAAAUGCAAAGCUAUUCAAUUCGAAGUUGCACAUCAAUAUAUGUGGGUCUAUCUUUAUUAAUAAGAAAAACUAAUGAAAAUGGCUUGAAAACUUUGAGUUUUAAUGAUAAGGACAAAAUAAAAGGUAAAGUCAAUAGUAGCAGGUUUGACUUUUUAGUGUACAAAUGUGGUUUUUCGAUAAACCAAUGGAGUUCUUACCUGAAAAUGGUACCAUUCAACUCGUAUGGUUCUCACAAACACAAUGGUGUGCUUCAUACCCUCUAUCUUCACACUUUCGAUGGGUUUUGGGUGUAGUCCGUACAAGAGAGAAGAAGAGAGAGAGAGAGAGAGAGUGUGUCCGAGAGAGUACGGAAGGGUGAGAGAGAGAGGAAAUUUUGGGUGUGUGUGUGUGGUCCUCAUACUGACACAUCACCAAACCCACAUCUACAACCAAACAAAAAGUCUAAGUCCCAAAUUACCCAAAAUUAAGCUAGGGCAACCAAAUAAACCCUAAUAUUAAAUCCCAUGAAACAUUUAAGGGUAUUCUCGACAUUUCCCAUCCAUGAGAAUAAUUUUCCGGGACGGGCUGUGACAUAUAUGAAGUAUUAUUGGUACUUCAAAAAUCUCAUUCUACACUCCUCAUAAGUGUAUAUUUUUUUCCUAAUAUAGAAAGUUUGAAGUAUAAAAUGAAAUUUUUAGAAUGCUAAUAACAAUUCACAUAUAUAUAUAUAUAUAUGUAUGUAUAUCUUUCUUCCCUACUCGUAGAUAAAAAAGAUGGAAAAAAUAAUGUACAUGGGAAUGUAAGGCUAUACUUCCUCUGAAAAAUGUUUGAAAGCAACGCUGGCUACUCGGAGAAGCAAUUGCUUUGAAAGUCACCAAGAACUUUUUUAUUUUCUUCAUUAAUGUAAAAUCACCUUAAAAGAACUAUUAAACACAACAAAGUUGGUAUAUAUUUGAUUGUCUAAUUUUAAGUUAUUCAAGAUUUAAGUUGUUUUAAUUUCAAAAACUUUGUGAUAUCGAGUACCAUUUCUAUGAUUGAUCUCUUUCUUAUGUAAAAAAAUUAUUUUUUGUGGUACUAGAACACCAUCACAUAACUAACUUGUUAUUUUGUGCUCCAAGUUCCUUAAUUUGAAGAAAAACAAAUGGCUUGUAGCAAAAUUUUGGCCUACAUAAAAGCCCUUAGAUUAUAAGAAACUUACAAGAAUCCAAAAUGCAAAGCUAUUCAAUUCGAAGUUGCACAUCAAUAUAUGUGGGUCUAUCUUUAUUAAUAAGAAAAACUAAUGAAAAUGGCUUGAAAACUUUGAGUUUUAAUGAUAAGCACAAAAUAAAAGGUAAAGUGAAUAGUAGCAGGUUUGACUUUUUAGUGUACAAAUGUGGUUUUUCGAUAAACCAAUGGAGUUCUUACCUGAAAAUGGUACCAUUCAACUCGUAUGGUUCUCACGAACACAAUGGUGUGCUUCAUACCCUCGAUCUUCACACUUUCGAUGGGUUUUGGGUGUAGUCCGUACAAGAGAGAAGAAGAGAGAGAGAGAGAGAGAGAGAGUGUGUCCGAGAGAGUACGGAAGGGUGAGAGAGAGAGGAAGUUUUGGGUGUGUGUGUGUGGUCCUCACACUGACACAUCACCAAACCCACAUCUACAACCAAACAAAAAGUCUAAGUCCCAAAUUAUCCAAAAUUAAGCUAGGGCAACCAAAUAAACCCUAAUAUUAAAUCCCAUGAAACAUUUAAGGGUAUUCUCGACAUUUCCCAUCCAUGAGAAUAAUUUUCCGGGACGGGCUGUGACAUAUAUGAAGUAUUAUUGGUACUUCAAAAAUCUCAUUCUACACUCCUCAUAAGUGUAUAUUUUUUUCCUAAUAUAGAAAGUUUGAAGUAUAAAAUGAAAUUUUUAGAAUGCUAAUAACAAUUCACAUAUAUAUAUAUAUAUAUGUAUAUCUUUCUUCCCUACUCGUAGAUAAAAAGAUGGAAAAAUAAUGUACAUGGGAAUGUAAGGCUAUACUUCCUCUGAAAAAUGUUUGAAAGCAACGCUGGCUACUCGGAGAAGCAAUUGCUUUGAAAGUCACCAAGAACUUUUUUAUUUUCUUCAUUAAUGUAAAAUCACCUUAAAAGAACUAUUAAACACAACAAAGUUGGUAUAUAUUUGAUUGUCUAAUUUUAAGUUAUUCAAGAUUUAAGUUGUUUAAUUUCAAAAACUUUGCGAUAUCGAGUACCAUUUCUAUGAUUGAUCUCUUUCUUAUGUAAAAAAAAUUAUUUUGUGGUACUAGAACACCAUCACAUAACUAACUUGUUAUUUUGUGCUCCAAGUUCCUUAAUUUGAAGAAAAACAAAUGGCUUGUAGCAAAAUUUUGGCCUACAUAAAAGCCCUUAGAUUAUAAGAAACUUACAAGAAUCCAAAAUGCAAAGCUAUUCAAUUCGAAGUUGCACAUCGAUAUAUGUGGGUCUAUCUUUAUUAAUAAGAAAAACUAAUGAAAAUGGCUUGAAAACUUUGAGUUUUAAUGAUAAGGACAAAAUAAAAGGUAAAGUCAAUAGUAGCAGGUUUUACUUUUUAGUGUACAAAUGUGGUUUUUCGAUAAAGUGAACAGUAUCAUGAGCUUUUCGUUAAAACUCUCUUAUUAAUAUGAUACAAAUAUGAGAUUUAAAUUGGGGCAAAAAUAUAUAGCAUUUUUGUUUAAAGAAUGGUCUCAAGAGAAAGAAUCAAUGCGAAUAAGUGAGGAGCAAAUUACCAACUAUUUUCUCUUUAGGCCAGCAUUUGUUGGUUUGUUCCAAGUUAAGCAGAUAUGUUCUCGUCUCUUAAAUUCGAUGCCAAAUUUGGCAAGUUCUCUGGACACUUGGAUGGUGAAAACUUCGUGGGAAUUUGUGCUUUUACAUGCGUAUAAGCCUAUAAGGUAGUACAACCUUUUAAGUUUUAAGAGUAAUGUUAUUCAUACCAUGUUUUUGUAUCAUAUUUUCAUACCACUUUAGAUGGCAUUUGAUGUGAACAGUCACAUCAUUUGAAUUAAUCAAAUUUUUAAAUUUAGUUCAUUAUUUAAUAAACUAAUAAUUAAGAAAAAUUAAUUAAUUAAAUCAUGAUUGUGGUAUACUAGGAGUCUUUCUCCUUCCUUUCCUUAGGUUUUGUAAAUUUUUCAGAUGAUAUGGAUGUCCACAUCAGAUGCCACUAUGAAAAUGUGGUACAAAAACAUGGUAUAAAUAGCAUUACUCAAGUUUUAAUAUUCCUGUAAUUUUUAUACUAUAUCUAAUUAGUAAUCACAAUGAACAUUAAGGCUGGAAAAAAAAAAUCACAAUCCACUAGUAAGUUUUUGGUGCUCCUAAAGCGGUUUCAAUUUGCUGCAUAUAAUCUCUGUCAAUAAAAUACAGAUGAUUCAAUUUCCCAAACCCAUGCCGAAUGGGGAUGGAGUGGGGAGGAUGGGGGGAUGGGGUUAUUUUGGGAGUGAGGACUGCAGGAGGGCGUAUCCGAGUCGGAUAAUCCGACCUCGCCUUGCCAGUUAUUAUCUCCAAUAAACUGAACAUUUGCGACUAAUUAAGUACUUAUGCAUGAAGCACUUGAAAAUAUUUCCUGAAGAAGCAUGCAUGUGUUCUUCCACGAUAUUUGAUCACGUUAAAAAAGUUUUAACUCUUUCAAAAAUAGUUUAACAAAUCGAGUCUUUGGAGAUAUUCUUGAUCACUUUAUGAGAGAUUUAGAAUGAGAGAUAUUGUCGAUUACACUCAAGUUUCUCCCAUAUGUCUUUUAUAAAGGCCAAAGUGCAUGCUUAUCUCCAUUAAUUAUACUACAAACUAAGAGCUUUAGGGAUAACAAUUAAUCUAUAAUCUUUUCCCAAUUCAUGAGUUAAGAACUUGAGAGUGAGAGAGAGAUACAUAUCAACUCAUAUCUCAAUAUGCGUGCACGAAGUGAUUUGGUCAUCUUGUAAACAAGAGAACUGAAGUUGACACGAGAGGAGGAUAGCAAACCAAGCCCUCCAUUAUCAAGAUUCCUUCGGACGUUUCUCGGGAGACAUGUGCUUCCCACAUGCCUCGAGGCCCCCAACUACACCUUACUAUCUACUGUAGGCCCCACCUCCCAGCAACUAUCACCCUUGCUUCUUCCCUCUCCGUGCAUCUAUAAAUUCAGGACGAUGGUGCAGAUUGGAGAUACAGCAAGCAAAAUACCCUUCGAGCUAAACCCUAAAACACACUUCAGUUCCAAGUUCUAAGUUCAUCUGCAACAUGUCGGGGAAGUGCGACAACUGCGACUGCGCUGACAGCACCCAGUGCGUGUAAGUAAUGCUUCUUUAUCAGUUUAGUUAUGGAUCUGUAAAUCUUGCAUGGCUAAAUACUGGUUUGGUACUGAGCUUAAAAAGGUGUUUGGUAAAUAAUUAAAAAUAACUUAUUUUUACGGUUUUGGGUGAAAAAAAAAAACUGAAAACGGGAAGCAGCAAAAAUAAGUUUAUUCUCACAACACAGCCGAAAUAGUUUUUAUUACAAUGAUAGUGUAUUUGUGUUAUGAAAGUCUUUCUUUUGUAUAUAGACUAUACAGAUGGGAAGGUCUUGGAUAUCCUCGUAGGUAUGACACCAUGGAUGUAUCGCUGAAGACUAAACCCUAGCUAUAGUGCUAAUCAAAUCAAGAUACGUGAUUAGUGCUAUAGGAAUAUGGUGAUAUAUCCUCGGUGACACCUAAAUGUUUCUCGAAUAGAAAGGGUUCGACUAGGGUUACCAACUAGUAGUUUACUCGCUUAAUAACAAGAUUAUAUAGGGUAUUUACUUGCUUAAUGCGAAUUAAAUAACUGAUGGAGGGCUUAACUGAAAUGAUUUAGCUCUAGUAUGUGGUAUUUCUCUUCUUGACGUUGAAGAUCUGCUGUUUCGGAUUCAUUUUUUUCGAUCUAAUUGGUGCAUAUAUGCCUUCAAAGCUUUAAAAUGCCAAUUUUUUAAAUCGCAGGAAGAAGGGAAACAGCUACGACUUGGUGAUCGUUGAGACUGAGAACCGGUACUUUUGUCAUAAACUUCAAUACAUUUUAAGAAUUAACUUUUCUUCUCUUUGUUUCCUUCAGACUAACUGUGGAGAGUUUUGAUUAAUUUUGCAGCUCCAUGGACCGUCUUCGUGGAUGCUCCUGCCGCCGAGCACGACGGAAAGUGCAAGUGCGGCACAGGCUGCUCAUGUGUGAGCUGCACCUGUGGUCACUAAACCCAUACAACCAAAUUAAAGAUGUAAACGAAUAAAGUGUUUGUGGGAAAACAACGUUGUGGCUUUGUCUUUGGUUUGUUUAUAGUAUUUGUGUCUGUUGAGUGACAUGUAGUGUCUGUGAAAACCUGUCACUGUCUCUGUGAUUGUGUCAUGUAAUCGCCAUGUUCGUGGCCUUGUGAUGUUAUGAAAUGAUAUUAUUAGAAUACAUGCUUUGGCUCU